rnacentral:lncRNA from 1 species
CAACGCGGCGUAGUGUCCGAUUGAUUGCUUCAAAACAGAGCUUCGUAUCCAUGUGUUUAUAAGCACAGAGUACCCAAAACCCCAGAAAAUUAUUUCUUUAUUCAGAUAAUAAAAUUUCGCAAAUUUCGAAUUUUAAUUCCGAACCAAAAAUAGGGUUUGAAUUUUGAUUACCUAGAAAUUGGGGGUUGGGGUGGAGAGGGACUGAGGCCAAGACGCAGCUAUGUGUCCGUGAUCAGGUGUGCCAAUUUACAGAGGGUGUCGGGAAGAUGCACAAGGCUUUUGCAGUUUCUCAGAUUUAAAUACUGAAGCCCCGUAAGGCGUUCAAUCCAGGGGGAAAGCUCUUUGAUAGAUGUUCCAUCCAAGAAAAGCGCUCUUAAUCCUUCCAUAUUUUCUUCAAUGCUUGGAAACACCUCAAACUUUGUACAACCGGAAAGAGAGAGAUAGACCAGGGACUUGAGCUGACAAAUGCUGCUUGGAAGACCCUUAAGUUCCUUGCAAUCAUCUAGCUUUAAAUAACUCAAUCCCGUGAGAUUAUUAAUUGACGAGGGCAGUUCUUUAAUUUUUGACCCGGAAAAAUAAAGAACUUUUAACCCCUCAAUCACUUCUGAAAUCUCUGGAAACAUCUCUAGACUCGAGCAACCAGAAAGAUUAAGAGUUUUGAGAGAUUUCAUACGAAUGCUGCUUGGAAGACACUUAAGUUCCUUGCAAUCAUCUAGGAGCAAAUGACUCAACCCCGUGAGGUUAUUAAUUGACAGGGGUAGUUCUUUAAUUUUUGACCCGGAUAACUCAAGCUCUUCUAACCCCUCAAUCACUUCUGAAAUCUCUGGAAACAUCUCUAGACUCGAGCAUCCAGAAAGAUUAACGGCUUUGAGAGAUUUCACAAGAAUGCUGCUUGAAAGACACUUAAGUUCCUCGCAAUGAUCCAAGCUUAAAUAACUCAACCCAGUGAGAUUAUUAAUUGACGAGGGCAAUUCUUUAAUUUUUGACCCGGAUAAAUCAAGAAAUUCUAACCCCUCGAUCACUUCUGAAAUCUCUGGAAACAUCUCUAGACUCGAGCAACCAGAAAGAUUAAGCACUUUGAGAGAUUUCAUACGAAUGCUGCUUGGAAGACACUUAAGUUCCUUGCAAUCAUCUAGGUGCAAAUGACUCAACCCCGUGAGGUUAUUAAUUGACGGGGGUAGUUCUUUAAUUUUUGACCCGGAUAACUCAAGCUCUUCUAACCCCUCAAUCACUUCUGAAAUCUCUGGAAACAUCUCUAGACUCGAGCAGCCAGAAAGAUUAAGGGUUGUGAGAGAUUUCAUACGAAUGCUGCUUGGAAGACACUUAAGUUCCUCGCAAUUAUCUAGGCUUAAAUAACUCAAACCACUGAGAUUAUUAAUUGAUGGGGGCAAUUCUUUAAUUUUUGACCCGGAUAAAUCAAGAACUUCUAACCCCUCAAUCACUUCUGAAAUCUCUGGAAACUUCUCAAGACUCAGGCAGCCAGAAAGAAAGGAAUUUAAGAGAUUUCAUACGAAUGCUACUUGGAAGACACUUAAGUUCCUUGCAAUCAUCUAGGAUCAAACGACUCAACCCCGUGAGGUUAUUAAUUGACGAUGGCAGUUCUUUAAUUUUUGACCUAGAUAAAUCAAGCUGUUCUAACCCCUCAAUCACUUGUAAAAUCUCUGGAAACAUCUCAAGACUCCAGCAGCCAGAAAGAUUAAAGGUUUUGAGAGAUUUGAUACGAAUGUUGCUUGGAAGACUCUUAAGUUCCUUGCAAUUUUCUAGGUUCAAAUGACUCAACCCCGUGAGAUUAUUAAUUGACGAGGACAGUUCUUUAAUUUUUGACUUGGAUAAAUCAAGCUCUUCUAACUCCUCCAUACCUUCUAAAAUCUCUGGAAACAUCUCAAGACUGGAGCAGCCAGAAAGAUUAAAGGUUUUGAGAGAUUUCAUACGAAUGCUGCUGGGUAGAAUCUUAAGUUUCUCGCACCCUUUCAGAUUCAAUAAAACAAGGUUUCUAAGAGUCCUAAUAGACUGGUGAACCUCAACUAAGCUUCUACAACCUUGAAGAAUUAGCCUCUCAAGAUUUGGCACAUUUGUGAAGUCAGGGGUUUCCUCAAGGUAUUGACAAUAACUUAAAUUGAUGACUUCCAACUUUUCCAGCGUCUGUUAAAACAUUUAGGAAAGCAUGCAUUACUUAAUAAGACAUCUCACUCAAAACCCAAACAUUUAAAAGAAACAAAUACAUGUAAAUGAUUGUACAUACCUGGGUUCCUUCCCAAAGUCGGUCAAUGAGACUAAAUUGCAUGUCAAGUUCAACAAGAUUUUUGAAUUGAAAGUUGGAUAGCAAAGACUUGAGAGGGAAUCCAAACCAGGAGAGAUACCUCAAGUUAAGUAACUUAAAGGGCCCAAUCAAGUGGUGUUUGCAGUAAUCAUGUUUAGAAAUGGAGUCCUUAUGACUGAUCUUGAUAAGUCUUAGUUGAUUCAUGCUAACAAAAGCUUCAGCAUUUAAGCAUACCCAGUCUGAGUACGAGAAAUCCACGAUUAUGCUUUCAACUGAUUUUGUAGCCUGUGUAAAUCAAAGUAAGGGAAAAUACAGAGAACCUUAGUUUAGAUUAUGAAACUAAUACUUGUUUCUUAAGGAGCCGUUUGAUAAUCAUUUUGUUUUUAGUUUAAUUGUUUUCAAUUUUCAAUUAUUAAAACAAUAAACACUAAAGGUUGUACCCAGUGCACAAGGCUCCCGCUUUACGCAGGGUCUGGGAGAGAUGAAUGUUGGCUAGCCUUACCCCCAUUUAUGGAGAGGCUGCUUCCAAGUCUCGAACCCGAGACCUACCGCUCAUGGGCGAAGGCACUUGUCAUCACACCAAGUGCGACCUCUUAUUAAAACAAUAAACACUAAAAAUUAAAAAUUAAAAACAAAAAUACUUAUCAAACGGACCUAAGAAAUUGAUUUUGAUCAAAAGUUGAAACUUUUUAUUGACAAUAAGAAAAAGAUUUCUCACCGUAUUUUGAGAUAGCACGUGAUGAACAUCUUCAUAACUACACAACCUACUUCGUCUCCCAGGCUCUUUGAUACAUUCUUGGCGGACGAUUUCCCGACCCAUUUCCUCUAAUGAAUCAUGCAUCUCCAGUUCCCCCUCCCCUGAGACAGUUAUGAGAGCUCGAUCGAUUAGAACUCUUAUUCCAGUAUAAGGAUGGAAACCACAAACUUCCAGAAUUCGGGUUGCACAGUCUUUCUUCAUCCCUUUAAAGAAACAUGCAAUGUCCAGAAAGAUGUCCUUCUCCUUGUCAUCUAGUCCAUCGAAGCUUGAUUUAAGCACAUCAUGAAUUCCCCUUCGUGGGAUUUUCCUUAUUUUUUCUAACUCAUCUUCCCACUCGCGUAUAGUUUUGUUACCAAGAAAAGCUCCCAAGACUUUGUGUGCUAAAGGCAGGCCUUGAGCAUAUUCUACGACAUGAUUCGAGAGAUCAUCAUAAUCUCUGGUAGGUUGGUUUUUUCUGAAGGCGUGCCGCCUAAAGAGUUUCAGAGCUCCAGAAUCACUCAAAAUCUUGGGAUUAUAUAUCACAUCAGCUAUGCUUAGUAAUUGCGAAUCUCUAGUUGUUAUAAUAAUUCUGCUUCCACAACCAAAGGAAUGUGGCUCUUCAAGUAAAGCUUCAAUUUGUUCUAAUUCGUCCACAUCAUCAACAACAAUAAGAACUUUUCUCUGACCAAGGCUUUUUAACAUCACCUGAAAACCAUUUUUUGAUAUGUCAGAACUCCCCACCUUGUUGUUCGAGAUAUUCGAUAGAAGUUGUGCCUGCAUAUGUAGUUUGCCAUGCUUCAUGAAACCUUCCUUGAAAUUUUCAAGAAAGCAACAAGCUUCAAAUCGAUUAGCGAUUUUAUCAUAAACAGCUCUAGCGAUGGUUGUUUUGCCUAAACCACCCAUACCCCAUAUUCCAACAACGCGAACAUUAUUCGUUUCACCUCCGGGAGGAUAUAAUAAUAAAUGCAUUUCAUGCAUGUGAGAAUCCAUGUCAACCAAGCCAUUAUCUUUGCUUGAUGUUGAUGAGAUGUCGAUCAAUUUCCUAUAAACAUCUUCUACAAUUUCCUCAAUAAGCACCGCAUCAUUUCUGUCAAAUUUAAAAAACAAUAUAAUAACACCACCAAAUGAUAAUUAAUGGGUCUUUUUCAUCUGUUAGUUUUCAAAAAAAUAGAAAUUAAAACUAAAAACUAAAUAUUUAUCAAAUUACCCCUAAACGUUACAAAAAUCCCAAAAAUUACUAGGAAACUAAAACAAAUUAGAAUUUACUCAUAGUUUCGCGAAUCCCAGCCGGCUAAACUGGUGGCAGUUGUAAGAGCGGAUCUCCAGCUCCGAACCUCCUCUAUUUCGGCGUUAGAAUCGAUAUCGUGCUGAGCAAAAGCUUCCGCGAAACUUUUCUUGAGUUUACGAACAUCAGACGGAUCAACUUCAUAGAAAAUGGGGAGUACAAUCUGGUUAUUGGUACCUUGCAUUCCAGGAUUUGCACGAGUUCCUUCAAGCACCAAGUGGAAGAAGCAUAGUUUUGAGAGAAAACUACAAUCGAAAGCCUCGACUCUUGAAUCGCUGUCAGGAGCUCGGAAAGGUGGUCGCCUUUUCUGAACUUUUCGGCAUCAAUGAAGGCGUUGAUUGGUUUCUUAGCCAGAGCGUUGUAGAGAUGGCUGACGAAGCCCCUGCGAGUGUCUUCCCCUCUGAAAUUGAUGAACACAUCGUAUUUCCAACCAAAGCCAGAAGAAGAAAAAGAAGAAGAAGAAGAAGCAACCAUUUAUCGAUCGCACCUGGUCACCGAUGAUCGAGCAGUUAUGACUAAGAGAAUUGUAAGUACAUAAAUACUCAAUGAGUCAAUGCAAAAGGGAAAAAGCGAAAAGGAAAUGGUUGUGAUAUCCAUACUUUAUUUUACUUUUUUAUACAUUUUUGAUAAUUUAUUUUUGUUAAUUUUUUUUAAUUCAUCUAGUUUUACAUUUAAAAAUUAAAAAAAUUUAUGAGAAGUUGAAAUGUGUGAAUAUCACGUCCAAAGGAAAAUUAUGCUUUUAUGUGUUUUCAGAUCUUCUUCAGGGAAAUUUCGAUGGGAAUGGAAUCUGCAUGCUUUUGAUUUUUAACCCAAGAAAAUGCCAAGAAAGGGGUCAAAGUAGUAAAUUUAAUCUACACUUGCCUACCCAACCACCUCUUAAUUUAAUAUAUUUAAUCGAGAAAAGUAGGUUAGAGGAAGGAUGGUAUCUCCUUUUCCUCUCUCAGUCUUCCAGCAUGCCAUUUAAUCAUGAUUAAGGCUAAAGCUUAAUUAUAGAUCUUGAUUGGAUUAUUAGUUUCCGUUGUAAUAUGGUGGUUAGAAGAUUAAAAAAAUUAUGAUUUAUGCUUUCAUAUGCUAACAAUUAAUGAAGAAUUAACAAAAUUUUAAAUUUUAAAUCUAAAUCCUAACAUAUUUUACCAUAGAAGCUUAAAUCUUAAUUUACUUAUCACAUGGAUUAUUUUAUAACUACCUUACUAUUAAUUCAAUUAAACCUAUUAUUUCUACGAAAACUAAAGAAAAGUUAAAAAAAAACUUUAGUUUUAAUGAAAAAAGAAAAAUGAAUGUGUAGUAAAUAAUACCAGAAAAAAAUAAAAAAAAUAAUUUUUUAUUAAAAAUAAACAGUAUAAAAAAUGUUGCAUUAAUACUCUCAUUAUUUAUUUACAAAUACGUGACUAAAUCACAAAGUGUUAGAAUGAAAGGGAGCGCUCAAAACGAUGAAAAGCAGGAGCACAGAAAGCUAUCUCCGUUUCUUUGUUGAGCGGACAACUGUUUAUUUGUCGUUCUUUUGGCAGAUAGCUCCUAAUGGCCCAUUUCCACAGCUGGUUAUAGGAUUCUGUUGCUAUAUAAGAAGUGUUUUGUUGUAAUUCAAUAUCGAUGGAAAUUCAACAGGAUCUUUUUCAAAAUUUUGUGAGGAUUUUGGGGUGUUCGUGAAUCUUGUUCAUCGUAUAUUGUGUAGUUGUUUUUUAUCGAAUAUUAUUUUUGUUUAAUUUUAAAUAAAGUAAUUUAAAAUAAUUUUUUACUGCAAGAUGUAUGAUGAACGUAUAUGAUUCACAGAUCUCCAAAAUCCUCACAAAGAAAAUCCAAAAAUGAUCUGAAUUCAAUGGAGAUAAGUUAAUUUUGAAUCAAAUAACAUUAGGAAAGAAAAAUAACAUUAGACGCCAGUCGGGCGAAGGAUUGGAGCCUAGUGCCUAGGCAGCUAGGCGAAGCCUGGGCGAUUAGGCGGCUAGGCGGCCUAGACGGUUUUAAAUAAUUUAUUGUAUAUUUGUAUAAAAUUAUUAUUAGCACUUCAAAAAUCUCAUUUUAUACUCCAAAUUUUCUAUAUUAAAAAAGAAAAAUACACUUAUGAUGAGUGUAGAAUGAGAUUUUUGAAAUGCCAAUACACUUCUCUAUUUUUAUUAUAUAAAUCAGUUGGACUUAAAAAAGAAAAUAAAGAAAAUAAAACAUUGUUCAAAAACUAAAACUCUAUAAAUAUAAAAAGUCAGGUCUUGAUUUAUCAUUACAAUUGAUAAAUAAAGGAGUGUGCUAUCUACACAACUUUUUUUACUUCUCACUCCUAAAUAAAAAAAUGAUGUGUGGAUAUCACAUCCCUAAAUAAAAUAUAUAAAUAUAGAUAGUUGGAGGAUAUCCAAGAGACAUUCUUUGGAGGAUUUUAGAGAAGAAAGGAGUACGAGUAUAUAUCCAAGCUAUAAAGGAUAUGUAUGAAGGAGCAAAGACUGCCGUAAGAACUCAUGAAGGACAAACCGAAAGCUUUCCCAUAACUGUAGGAUUACAUCAAGGCUCAUCCUUAAGUCCUUACCUUUUUGCGUUGGUAAUGGAUAAGUUAACAGGACAUAUUCAAGAUGAUAUUCCUUGGUGUAUGCUUUUCGCAGACGAUAUAGUGUUGAUAGAUGAAACUCAGGAAGGGGUAAAUGCAAAGCUUAACCUUUGAAGAGAAGUGUUGGAAUCUAAAGGUCUUCGCCUAAGCCGAUCAAAGACAGAAUAUAUGGAGUGCAAGUUCAGUACAAAUGAAGGCCAAAACGAGUUAGGGGUGAGGAUCGGAGAUCAAGAAAUACCAAAGAGCAACCGUUUUCGUUACCUAUGAUCUAUCUUGCAAAAGAACGGAGAAUUAGAUGGAGAUCUCAAUCAUAGAAUGCAAGCUGGAUGGGUGAAGUGGAAGAGUGCAUCCGGCGUGUUGUGUGACCGCCGUAUGCCACUGAAGCUCAAGGGAAAAUUUUAUAGGACGGCAAUAAGGCCGGUGAUGCUGUAUGGCACAGAAUGUUGGGCAGUGAAGCAUCAACACGUACACAAAAUGGGUGUAGCGAAGAUGAGGAUGCUUCGUUGGAUGUGUGGGCACACGAGAAAGGAUAAGAUUAGGAAUGAGGAUCCGGGGUAAAGUAGGAGUAGCCGAAAUUGAAGGAAAGAUGAGAGAAAAUCGGUUACGGUGGUUUGGACAUGUGCAAAGAAGGCCUACUGACGCUCCGAUUAGAAUAUGCGACUAUGGGACAGAGGUUCAGGGCCGAAGGGGUAGAGGAAGACCUAGGAAAACUUUGGAAGAGACUUUAGGAAAAGACUUAGAGUACUUGGAUCUAACGAAGGACAUGACACAGGACCGAGCACAAUGGCGUUCUAAGAUUCAUAUAGCCGAUCCCACUCAGUGACUUGGAUUUUCCAAGUCUCCAACCGAGAAGUUUUCCUCACUCGGGAAAUUAAGGGAACACUACCUCAACCUACAUGCUCCACUCACAAAGCUUCAACAAAAGAAAAUUCAAAGAACUUAGCGAAGAAUGAUUUGGUGUAUUUAACACAAACGUUGAAAUGAAGGAAAGCUUAUUUAUUGAUAUUCCCGAUAAGCUACAAAUAUGUACAUAUACAUAAGGUUGCUUAGGAGAAGUCUCAGCAGCCGGUAGAGCCCCAGAAAGAGAAGGCACCAGAGGGGGAUCAUUCGGAGCCUCAGAACUGGACAGAACCCUAGAAGGAUGAGGCAUCAAAGGUUGAUCAUUUGGAGCUUCAUUACGCGGUACAGCCCCAGAAGAUGAAGGCAAUAAAUGCCUUUGGAACAAACCCACAAAUCUCUGAUGAUCAAGUAAAACCUGACCAUCAGAUUCCUUCAUCUGGUCAAGCUUCCUCUUCAUGUUUGUAGCAUAGUCAUGUGCGAGCCGGUGCAACUGUUUAUUCUCAUGCUUGAGCCAUCUAAUCUCCUGUUUGAGACUCAUCACUUUAGCCGCCAAUGAUUCAACUUGGCGGGUUCAAGCAAAUAGGCGUUGGGCCGUAUUAGACACAGAACCUGCACACUGAACACUGAGAGCCAGCGAAUCCUUAACAGCUAACUCAUCAGACCGUUUGGAAAGUAGUUUGUUAUCUUUGGGAGUGAGAAGGUUCCUGGCCAUCACCGCAGCGGUCAUAUCAUUCUUCAUUACGAAAUCCCCAACGGUAAGAGGACCAGUAGGGGAGACGAAGGAUGUGCGCCAUAUGUUGUCUGGAGAAGGCGGGGCUGCCUCUUUAACAAGGUUCAAGUCAAAACGACGGUCGGAGGGGCCAGACAUUUUCAAAGGUGUUGAAGAGAGAAGAUGUCGGAUAAAUCAAGAUCUUAGAAGUGCAAGAAUGGAGCUUCUACUGGUGGAUUUCAAGUGUGCUUUAGAACUUAAUGACAGCCCCUAUAAAAAUCUGCACUCGACGGAGCUUCAGAAAUCGAAGAGGCGUUUGCUUUCUCAAAAGUUGGGCUGCUCAAAGACCACGAAGGCCAAUCUCAGAAAUCGAAGAGGCGCUCGCUUUCUCAAAAGCUGGGCUACUCAGAGACCACGAGGGCCGAUCUCAGAAAUCGAAGAGGCACCUACUUUUCCAGCCUUGUCAGCACCUGUCACACGCACACUCAGCUUUGCGGAAAUUAUGGGCAUUCUGUCGAAGACUUCUGGUGAAGUAAAAAGCACAUGAAUCUUACUGUUCAAUCACCCACUUCCCACACGCAACAAUAGCUCAUGGGUACCACAGAUAACUUUGCCAAAGUUGAGCACGUGAAGCUUGCAGCUCCUACUACAUCGCUCUGACCAAGAAGGGUAAAAGAAUAGCAAAGAAACAGCACUAACAAAGUUUAGACCCAUAAAUUUUGAAGGUCUAGCUACCAUAUUAUUACCCACAAGGGUAAAGGAACAGUACCACUGCUGGAUAAUUGGAAAGUCCCUGUGUGUCAACCUCUGUGCUUCGUGGCAAGGUAGACUAGCAAACAUGCCCAACCUUUACUCACAUUCGAGAAAACACUCCCAAUAAGAUUGCUUGCUCCAAAAUCGAAGAGGCACCGUCCUCCGAAUCUCGAGAGCCAGACUCCCAACAUGAAUACUUUCUCAAAAAAAUCGAAGAGAGGGUAAAGGAACAGUACCAUUGCUGGAUAAUUGGAAAGUCCCUGUGUGUCAACCUCUGUGCUUCGUGGCAAGGUAGACUAGCAAACAUGCCCAACCUUUACUCACAUUCGAGAAAACACUCCCAACAAGAUUGCUUGCUCCAAAAUCGAAGAGGCACCGCCCUCCGAAUCUCGAGAGCCAGACUCCCAACAUGAUUACUUUCUCAAAAAUCGAAGAGACACUGCUAUCCCGAAUCUCGAGAGCCAGACCCCCAGCAUGAUUGCUUUCUCAAAAAUCGAAGAGGCAUCGUUCUCCGAAUCAAUCGAAGAGGCGCUCGCUUUCUCAAAAGCUGGUGGGCUGCUCAGAGACCACGAGGGCCGAUCUCAGAAAUCGAAGAGGCACCUACUUUUCUAGCCUUGUCAGCACCUGUCACACGCACACUCAGCUUUGCAGAAAUUAUGGGCAUUCUGUCGAAGACUUCUGGUGAAGUAGAAAGCACAUGAAUCUUACUGUUCAAUCACCCACUUCCCCACACGCAACAAUAGCUCAUGGGUACCACAGAUAACUUUGCCAAAGUUCUCUGCCAAAGUUGAGCACGUGAAGCUUGCAGCUCCCACUACAUCGCUCUGACCAAGAAAGGUAAAAGAAUAGCAAAGAAACAGCACUAACAAAGUUUAGACACAUAAAUUUUGAAGGUCUAGCUACCAUAUUAUUACCCACAAGGGUAAAGGAACAGUACCACUGCUGGAUAAUUGGAAAGUCCCUGUGUGUCAACCUCUGUGCUUCGUGGCAAGGUAGACUAGCAAACAUGCCCAACCUUUACUCACAUUCGAGAAAAACACUCCCAACAAGAUUGCUUGCUCCAAAAUCGAAGAGGCACCGUCCUCCGAAUCUCGAGAGCCAGACUCCCAACAUGACUACUUUCUCAAAAAUCGAAAAGGGUAAAGGAACAGUACCAUUGCUGGAUAAUUGGAAAGUCCCUGUGUGUCAACCUUUGUGCUUCGUGGCAAGGUAGACUAGCAAACAUGCCCAACCUUUACUCACAUUCGAGAAAACACUCCCAACAAGAUUGCUUGCUCCAAAAUCGAAGAGGCACCGCCCUCCGAAUCUCGAGAGCCAGACUCCCAACAUGAUUACUUUCUCAAAAAUCGAAGAGACACCGCUCUCCGAAUCUCGAGAGCCAGACCCCCAGCAUGAUUGCUUUCUAAAAAAUCGAAGAGGCAUCAUUCUCCGAAUCUCGAGAGCCAGAUCAUCAAUAGGAUUGCUUGUUCGAAAACCGAAGAGGCACCACUUUCCCAACUUCAAGAGCCGGAUCUCCUUGGAUAAAGCUUGUCUAUAAUCUUCACACGGAACAUCAGCUUUCCAGAUACCACAGACCACUUUUUCAAAGUGCUCUGACAGAGUUAAAACAUGUGAAGCUGGCAGGUCCCACUACCGUGCUAUGACUAAGCAGGGUAAAGGAAUAGCAUUACUACUUGUUGUUAGGGAGACUCCUAUAUAUGUCGACCUCCAUCCCCAACGACAGGCAGACCUGCAAAAAUGCUCAACCCUUCCUCAUAUCUGAGAGGCCACUCCCAACGAAGCCUUUCAAAAUAUUCAGCUUUCUUCCCCCUCCCCGAUAAUACCUCUGCAAACAAGCUAUACUAGAGCAAGAAUAUCUCAUAUCAUCAGGGUUAAAAGCAAGAGUAUCCCAUAUCAUGCUUUUUCCCUGUCUUUUCCUUUGGCCUUGUUUUUACCUGCAAGACAAGGAGAAAGAGAGCAAUCAGUCAGCACUUGGAAUCAAGCUUCCAGCCAGGAACUGACUGCCUGGAACCCCUUACCUGAUUACUUACCUGGCAUUGCUCUCGAGUACUCAUCUUCAACAUCUUAUGUUUCCAGGGAAGAUUACCGCAUCUGCCUUGAGGAACAGAUAGGGCAAGUGCGAAGGAUACAAGGAAGCAUGUGGAGACAAGCGUAACAGCACACGUGCCGAUACAUCCAUUACUCUGUCAAAAGCAAAAGUAUCCCAUAUCAGCAGGGUCGAACGUACUCUAGAUUUGAUGGACUUGUUUUGACCCUCAAAUUCUUCAGUCGGCCUUAUACUCUGGAGGAAACCAGAAAACCCUCCAGCUCAGUUCAAGAAUAAGCCUGUGGAAAGUUACUUCUUCAAAAGCAAAAGUAUCUCAUAUCAUCUCUUCUCAUUUUUCUUCUCUUUAUCCUUCAUGCUGCCUGCAAGAUGGGGAGAAGGUGAACAAUCAGCCGGAGCUCUGAUUGCUUACCUUGUCUGUCACCUCUUUCAGCAGAUCCCCUAGCUCGGCGACUUGGGGGACUCCUACUACAUGGUUUGUAUCGCGCUUGACCAAGCCUGAAACUACAAGUAAGCUUCAAGUGAAAUUGAUACAUUACCUUGUGCAUCUCCACCAGUUAAAGAUACCACCCCUGGAUGGAGGAAGAGUACUUCCAGAGAAGAUGCCACAUCUACCUAUGAGACAGAUAAGGCAAGUCAAGACGAUACCACACUCCGAUACUUAGAAGUUUCGUGAUUACGAGAUCAUUCUCCCACAAUAUUUCCUAAUGUCAUUUGUACUAAAUCAUUCACUUGUACUCACUAAAGGAGAGCUUGAACCUAUGUACUUGUGUAAACCCUUCACAAUUAAUGAGAACUCCUCUAUUCCGUGGACGUAGCCAAUCUGGGUGAACCACGUACAUCUUGUGUUUGCUUUCCUAUCUCUAUCCAUUUAUAUACUUAUCCACACUAAUGACCGGAGCAAUCUAGCGAAGAUCACAAAAAGCAACCGUUUUCGCUACCUAGGAUCUAUCUUGCAAGAGAACGGAGAAUUAGAUGGAGAUCUCAACCAUAGAAUACAAGCUGGAUGGAUGAAGUGUAAGAGUGCAUCCGGCGUGUUGUGCGACCGUCGUAGGCCACUGAAGCUCAAGGCAAAAUUUUAUAGGACGGCAAUAAGGCCAGCGAUGUUGUAUGGCACAGAAUGUUGGGCGGUGAAGCAUCAACACGUACACAAAAUAGGUGUAGCGGAGAUGAGGAUGCUUCGUGGGAUGUGUGGGCACACGAGAAAGGAUAAGAUUGGGAAUGAGGAUAUCCGAGGUAAAGUAGGAGUAGCCGAAAUUGAAGUAAAGAUGAGAGAAAAUCGGUUCCGGUGAUUUGGACAUGUGCAAAGAAGGCCUACUGACGCUCCGGUUCGAAGAUGUGACUACGGAACAGAGGUUCAGGGCCGAAGGGGUAGAGGAAGACCUAGGAAAACUUUGGAAGAGACUCUAAGAAAAUACUUAGAGUACUUGGAUCUAACGGAGAACAUAACACAAAACCGAGCGCAAUGGCGUUCUAGGAUUCAUAUAGCCGACCCCACUUAGUUGGAAAAUGCUUUGUUGUUGUUGUUGUUGUUGUAUAGAUAGUUGGCGCUUUGUAGUGGGCGGUAAGUUCUAGUUUUACCAUUAAAAAAUAUACACUGUCAAACUAGUGUGGGUUCUAUCAAUUUUUUUAGUAUUUUAUUUAUUUUUUCACUCUGUCUCCGUGCCAUGGUCUUGAUAUUAUCACUCCUUUAAUAUUUUAUUCAUAUUUUAUUCUACUUGAUUUAUGAUGGUGUGUUUUUUUGACCAAGGUUUAUAAUGGUGUUUGUUCUAUAAGUCGGCAUAUUUGCCAACCGCAAUCGAUACUGUCGUUCUCAAACACAAAGCAAUAGUUUGCUACCGAAAACAACCAAAGUGUGACAAAGGGAACCGUCUUACACCUAACCUGUUUUUCCCUCAUCAAAUGAGCGCGUUGAUCUGCAGGUAUUUUCUGCCAUCUCAAAACCUGUUACAAAGAAAUAUAACGUUGAUGUCGAGCUGGAUAGCAUAUUAUACCAAUUAUGUGUACAAACCUAUUGAAAUAAAGUAGCUGUAGUUGCAUAUUACGACAGAUAUUAACGAAAACAAAAGAAGGCUCGCCUAUUCAAGAUCCUAAAUCCCGUGAUUCUUUUGUUUUUAGUUUCAGAAAUUUUCAGAGCACAAACUGGAAAGUACCAAGAUACUUACAUAUUGGGCAUAAUGAAAUGCAUCUUCAUCUUUCAAGCAAGAUUUGAGUGAGCGCAAACCGUCCUGAGAGUUACAUAAGUCAAUCAGUAAUAUAAAAACGUAUACGCAUCACAUCCAAACACAAGUAUUCAAACACCAACAACUUCUUCAUGCGGUGAGGCAUGUUAAAAAAUAGGGAAGAACAGUUAUUGAAUAGGAAGUUAAAGGACUAAAUUUAUGACCUUGUGUUUGUAGUUCUUGGCUCGUAUGCGUUCAUCUAUUACAAAACCAAUCUGUAACAGGUACAACAGAAAAUAUAAGCAGUAGUCAGAACAUUAAUCUUCGGCAUUCACAUUGCCACCAAUCCAAAGUUAAAAGUCUGAAGGCAAAACAGUAUGAUUCUUAUCUCUCAAACAAAAAUGAAACUAUACCCCGGUCUCAGACAUAAAUGAAAUAAGUUCUACUGCCUCAACUGAGUACUGUGAUUAUAUAUAAAUCCAAUUCACCUUGUCAAGUAAUCUCUUAGGAUCUUGAAAUGCUUCCUUCUUAGCCCAGUCAUUAAAUACAUGCGAGAAAAUUGAUCUCUCAUCCACACUGAAUCUAUUGCACAGUGACAGAAGAAUAAAGUUAAACAUGAACAUAACCAACCAAAAAUGCUAGUUAUAAUAGUACACCCAUAAUUGCAAGCAAAACCUUUUUAAGAAGCCAUUUCCAUGGUUUUCCUCCCCAAAUUCCAUCAAUUCUGCAGAGGCAACGUCAAAUUUACUAUGAUGGAGAUCAUUUUGCACUGUAAUAACUUCAGAAGGUAGGAGAUUUGGUUUCAGAUCAUCUGUUGACGGAGUAGUUUCUUUUGAAGUGUCAUGAUGCUUUGAUUGCAAGCCUUCUGUACUUACGUCAGCCUACAAAACAAAAAUUGCAUUCAUCCACACUAGACUUAAUAAGAUUAGAAACACUUCAGAUUCUUCAUUAUUUGUAUUUUUGACUAAACAGCAGAACAACUGAGGAUAAUGAACAGUAAUACACACCUGGACUUCUCGUAGAUGAUUUGGAAUUUCUUUCAGAAAUCGCGAAGGUUGAAGCAUCUGAAGGAGUCACCUUCUCAGUCAGAGCAACAACAACAAAUAAGGAGGACAGGAAUUCAAGCUAAAACGAACCUGCCAACUGGAAUCCAUCGUAACAUAAAGAAUGAAAAGCUUUUUUCGAGCACGAGUCAUUGCAACAUAUAAUAGGCGUCUCUCCUCCUAUGAUUAGAGUGGGAUUAUUGAGUUAUUGAUCAAAAGAAAAAAGAGUGGGAUUAUUGUGAAAAACAUGUCAAAGCUCUGCAUAUAACUGAAAAAUGUUGAACAAUUUACCACACACCUCAAUGGAGGUCCCAUUUUCUUUUGCAACCCCAUUGAAUUCAUGCAACAACGGGAUCUCAGAUUCAUUUACCUGUGUUAUUGGCAUGAGCAUUAAAGCAAGCUAAGAUGAUUUGAAGAGGUUGAUAUCGUCAUGAAUAUAGUAGAACAGAGAAUACCAAUUUCAAGCCAUCAAUUAGGUAUAGCAUUGGCAUGUUUAAUCCGUAAAAUCUAAUGACAGAACACCUCAACUCUACACAUAAAUAAAUAAACAACCUGAAAAAUAUUACAGCCACAUGUUAAGGCAAAUACCUUAAUUAUGAAAACUAUAUCCCACUCUAAACCUUUUGACUGCAAGAGAAUGAAAAAGAAAGACAGUAAGCCAAGAAUGUUUUGUAGAACUCCAAAGGAAGUCCAAUAGGGAAAUCAUCGCAAGUAUAAGAGUUAGCGAGGUUCGCAUAAGAGGAUAUCAAAAAGAUCUAGAACCUGAUGAAUAGUAGUCAAAGUGACAGAACUUUGGUUGUCAUGUCUUCGGGAGUGAAAAUUUUCACUCUCCUGCUCAGAUAUGUAGUCGAUGAAAGCUUUGAGUAAAUUAACGCAGCCUUUUUCUUCUGCUACGACUUCUCUCUCUCCCCUUUUCCCGCAACAAAAUGAGUUGAUAAGAAAUCAGAUACGUCGUCUAGUAGGUACUGAAGAACCUGCAAUGAGAAUAAUCGCAUCACAGCAACAGGGUUGGACCAAGAUUUAAGUGACAACAAUGAUUAACUAACUAAAAUAGAGAAAUUAUUCAUUUAAGACCUUGUUGACGGAAAAAAGGGUUUUCCAAGCAGCGGGUCAUUUAAGCUUAUUGUAUAAAUGACAAUCAUCACAAACGGCAAACUUACAGAUCUCACGUCAUUGUCUUCAUUCAGCAGUUUUCCUCCAUCUACAUCAACGACUGCACGUUGCUCAAGACGGUACUUCUAAAAAUUGAAAGUCAACAACAACAACAACAACAACAAAGCCUUUUCCCACUAAGUGGGGUCGGCUAUAUGAAUCCUAGAACGCCAUUGCGCUCGGUUUUGUGUCAUGUCCUCCGUUAGAUCCAAGUACUCUAAGUCUUUUCUUAGAGUCUCUUCCAAAGUUGUCCUAGGUCUUCCUCUACCCCUUCGGCCCUGAACCUCUGUCCCGUAGUCACAUCUUCGAACCGGAGCGUUAGUCGGCCUUCUUUGCACAUGUUCAAAAUCACCGGAGCCGAUUUUCUCUCAUAUUUCCUACAAUUUCGGCUACUCCUACUUUACCUCGGAUAUCCUCAUUCCCAAUCUUAUCCUUUCUCGUGUGCCCACACAUCCCACGAAGCAUCCUCAUCUCCGCUACACCCAUUUUGUGUACGUGUUGAUGCUUCACCACCCAACAUUCUGUGCCAUACAACAUCGCUAGCCUUAUUGCCGUCCUAUAAAAUUUUCCCUUGAGCUUCAGUGGCCUACGACGGUCACACAACACGCCGGAUGCACUCUUUCCAUCCAGCUCGUAUUCUAUGGUUGAGAUCUCCAUCUAAUUCUCCGUUCUCUUGCAAGAUAGAUCCUAGGUAGCGAAAACGAUCGCUUUUUGUGAUCUUCGCUAGAUUGCUCCGGUCAUUAGUGUGGAUAAGUAUAUAAAUGGAUAGAGAUAGGAAAGCAAACACAAGAUGUACGUGGUUCACCCAGAUUGGCUACGUCCACGGAAUAGAAGAGUUCUCAUUAAUUGUGAAGGGUUUACACAAGUACAUAGGUUCAAGCUUUCAUUUAGUGAGUACAAGUGAAUGAUUUAGUACAAAUGACAUUAGGAAAUAUUGUGGGAGAAUGAUCUCGUAAUCACGAAACUUCUAAGUAUCGGAGUGUGGUGUCGUCUUGACUUGCCUUAUCUGUCUCAUAGGUAGAUGUGGCAUCUUCUCUGGAAGUACUCUUCCUCAAACGAUAAAUUAUUACGAAGCAUUGAAUAUAAGCAUGAAACGAAGAAAAUGUUAUGGAAUGGUGAUCCUCAUCCUCAAAGAUGAUUAAAAGCAAUUUGAUUCAAAAAUGACAUAUCAACUCUGGAGAAAUGGAAGACAAACCUGUGGUACCAUAUUCGCAACUGAGGUUAUGACAGCUGAAAUCGAUUGUUCCUGUGUGCAUUGAUAAGUGAGACUACCAUAGAGAUUCACAACUAAAUAAAGACAGGUAUUCCACAGAACAACCUUUACCUCUUUGGAAACACAGAUCUAACAAAAACUAUAACAUUUUGGAUUAAUAUUGACGAAUCAAGAAUAAUGCAAGGGAGCAAGAGAUACUCUUCCUUCUAAUAACAAGGAGGCGUGAAAAGUAUACAGAGUUCCAACAAUUAGAGAACUAAAAUCAAACUAAAAAAAUCACCAAAGUAGACAGAAUCUCACUUCGCCAAAAAUUUGAAAAUAUAUCCUUUUUAUCCAUUGAGAUUCAUGAACUACUACUACUACUACAUCAUGCCAAUAAGCAAUGCGUAAGAGGUGCUACAAUUUACCGAAUAUAUUUACCCUGAGAACAAGUUUUGAAAUCAUCUCUAGUGUUAACAGCACCUUGCGUCCUUGGGUAAGCUGAGUCCUAUUAUCAAGUAAAGAGACCAAUCAGUACAUAUCCAAAAGAUCUUAAAUGCUUGUAAUACCAAAUAAGAAAGAAACAUGAGUAUAUCUUGAAUUAACCAUGUAAAAAUGUAAUGUUAAAGCAUCUUGUCAUACAGACCUCUUCAAGGUACCAGAAAUUUUUGCACUAAAGAUGUCACAAGCAGCUGAUAUGAAGCUGCAUUUUCUGUGAGUUGAAAUUUUGUCAAUAUAAUCGAUCACCUGAAGAGAGAGAGAGAGAAAAAGACAGUGAUAUCCAGAGAUGUGAGCCUAAAUGCUGAGUGUGUAAAAAAAGAAGAUUAAAUGGAUAGCAAGAAUAUACAACUUUAAUGCUGAAAAGAACAUUGAAUAUGAUGCUCAUUCAUCAUUCCCAUUGAACGUGUACCUUCUUCUUUUCCUCUUUCUCAAAAGCAAGUAGAGCCUUGAAGACUUGCCUAUAUGAUCCAUCAUCACAACCAGGCAAAGUUGUUUUAAUCAUAGCAACAAUGGCUCUAACUACCUGCCAUAAGAAACAUGCUACAUCAACAAGAUCACAGAGUGUACCAGAAACCGUAAUGUAGCAAAAUCUUGGAUAAAAUAGCUGACCAAAAGGGAAUGGAAAAGCAAGCACGAAAAACAAUGAAAAGGACCAGUGAUGCCAAAAUUCUGGUGGAAAAGGUGAAAAGCUUCUGCCUAUUACAAUUUUUGUAUGCAUUCUUUAUAACUUAAGUUCUACUAGCAAAAACCACCUUAUGCAAAAUAAUAUUGGAAAAAUUAGAUACAUACAACUGAGAAGAUAGGUUUUCAUAAUCUGGACAAGUGCUAACUACCUUCUUCCUAUAAACUGCCACUCCAUGAACAUUAAAUGGUAUUUUCCUUUCACGCAAGGCUGUCUGGAAGACUUUUCCUGAUACCUGUAGCAUAAAAUACAAAAGAAAAUGUGACCAAAAUGUCUUAUAUGAUUCACCUCAUUCACAUUAGCACUAAGGCAAGUAAGCUUGACCUGCCUCCGGUAAAGGAUUGCUAUAUUUCCAUAGGAGCACCCUGCUUCUGACCGUUUCGAUGCAGUCUCCAGGAUCUUGUCGACAACAAAGGCGCAUUGUGCAUCCUCAUUGUGACUUUCCUUGAUAAUUACCUACAUUUUGCCAGUAAAACCAGUGUCACUAACUAAAAGGACUGAAAAAUGACAUCAAAUUGUACUUGUUGGAGCAAGGAAAGAUUAAGUACCUUAGACCCAGAAGAAUUGUCCGUGUCAACAUUCUUUAGUUGGCAUCGCUUCUUAUUGUUUUUUAUAACAGAAGAUGCAGCUUCCACAAUAUAGCGUGUGGACCUAAAGUUUUUAUUAAGCCUAAUCUGAACCAUAAAGUUAUGUCAAAUCCCACAGAAACCCAUAAAAUAAAACUUACUUUCCUGUAAUUGUACAAUAUAUUUGUUCUAUACUAUAUAUAAUGAAAAAAGACACUGUGAAUGACAUAAGAUAACAUAGCAGUCAAGUGCGAAGCGAACCUCUUUGUAAUUUGAAAAAUCUUUACGAAAAGAAUCAAAUCCAGAAAUGUCCGCCCCAUUGAAACUGAAAAUGGACUGCAGCAGGAUAUAUGUUAUUUGAUUUAGAACAGAUAAGGGCUGGAUUAGAAUGAGCUGAGAGAGAGAGAGAGAGAGGGAGAGAGGGAGAGAGGGAGCAAUAACAUUGGAUUUCCAUAAUAAAUCAACAACAUGCCUGAUCAUCAUCACCAACAAUGGUUAUGUGGUUAUGAGAGGCGAGAAUCCGCAAAAGACUAUAUUGCAUAGCACUUGUGUCUUGAAACUCGUCUAUUACAAUAGCUUUCCAUGACUCCUGGCACUCCUUCAACACUAAUUAAGAGAACACCAUGUAUCAACAUUUAGCAUUACUUGUAAAACUAGAUAAAUCAAUGAAAUAUACUUAGAUGAUAGAGACCUUCAGGAAAAUCACUUAGCAGCUUCACAGAGCAGCUAAUUAAGUCGUGGUAGUCCAAAGCGUUGCACGAUUUCAAGAUAUCAUUGUAAUUCCUAAGAAUUUCACCCUGAUUCAGAUUGAGAGCUAAAACUCAUAAGCAAUAGUUUCAAAGAACUGAAAUGAUAUCUGAAAUUCUAGUUCUGAGCGUACUCCUGUCACAUCACCCAUUCUUCGGCAUUCAGCGGGAGUCUUUCCAGAAGCUUUUGCCUGAAACAUAAAUAAAUUUACUGCCUAAUGCCACAUAUUGUAAGACACACCAUUGUAUUGGUCAUUCUAGCUUGAUUGUAGCUAAUAUUUUUUAAAUCGAAUGAUUAGAGUUCUUAAUCCACAAUAAUCUGAACAUUAAAUUUGGUAUUCAAGACUAACCUGUGUCACAAACUUCAGCCAUUUCUUUGAUGCAUCCUUAAAAUGAUGUGGAGAUGUUACGCCGUCAGACUCUUCCCCAUCUAUAGCAACAUUAAGAUUCGUUUUACUCUUUUCAUCUUCUGAUAACCGCACAGCUUCAAUGAUUGCUCUUCUCUGUUGCCCAUGUCCAUAUAUCAAAAAUUCUGGUCUGCGCUUGAGUCUAAAACACAAGCCAACAUAACAGACUCAGCUAUACCACCAAAUGUAUGGUGUUCAAAAUCAAGGGAGGUGAAUCAAUAGCUUACUUCUCAGCAUGUGAUCGGCAAAGUUGCAAUGAAAAUGAAUGAAAUGUACUGAUUGUUAGUAGUUUUGCCGUUGCUUUCCCAGUCACAGAUCCAAUUCGAUCUCUCAUCUCGGAAGCUGCUGCUGUAGUGAAAGUCAUUGCUAGAAUGUUCGACGUGCUAAUGCCCUAAGAACACAAAAAAAAAAAAAAAACGAAUAAGAUUUCGAUCAUAAACAAGAAAUGUAGAGAAACACACAAUUACGAAAGAAAAAGUUAGAGGGAAAGUAGCAACACCUCAUUGAGCAGCAUUAGAACGCGCCCAACUAUCGUUGAAGUCUUUCCACUUCCAGGGCCGGCAACAAUCAUCAAAGGUACUGAAAUAUAGCUGCAAGCUGCCUCACGCUGCCUUUCGUUGAGAGAAAGCAAAUACUUCAAAUACUCAUCCGGCAUGUUAGGCAAUCCAUGGUUAACAGAAUCUGUUUGGUUUUCACUACUCAAAGGCGGCGCUGAUGGCACUAACGUGUUAUGACCCAAAUUAUUACUGAGGUUUUAUGCUUUAUUACUGUGAGGAAUUGUUAAUAUACCAGCUGGCAUUUAAAAGUGUAGAGGUUUUAUAAAAGGAGCCCCAGCUCCCCCAAAUGUAUCAGAUCAGAAUUUUACAAAAGAAAUCAAUAUUGGAGCUCUGCUCCUUCUUCUCUCCUUCCCUCUUCUUCCAUAGCUUUCUUGUGCCACUUACAGGUUGAUUAAGGGAAUUGAGAAUUAGAUCUUAUCAAUGGUAUCAUCCUUCUCGAAUCCUGGUUUCCCUCCUGUGCACACCCACCCACCUACGUUUUCUGCCAUGGUUGCUGCGCCCAAGGAUUCGCUUCGCGAGACCCUGGAUGCUCUAUUCGCACCCUACCUGGCUAAGAUCCGCCGUGCCCGUGAGUUGGCUCUCAGCGCUGAGGGAGACUCCACUCCAACCCUUAUGUUCGCUAUCAGUGAUGGGGGAGUUCCUGAUCCAGCCCCGAUGAUUGCCGAUGACGCUGCAGGAAUCGAUCUCGGUCAGAAAAUAAUUCCACGAGUCGCUGCAUCAACUAAUCAGAUUCUGCCGUUGCUCUCGUCAUCGCCGUUAUUGCGAGCACUAGCAAAUCCUCCUGUCAGGCCACCGUCGAACUCAAACGCUUCAUUGGCAAAUUCGCCCAGCCAGCCGCUACACUCAAAUGAUAUUGUAGCAGCCACAAUUCCAUUGCGGAAUGUUGAGAAAACCAGGCCCGUUGCGAUUGUGACCACAAUGCCGCUAUUUCCGAUUUCAGCAACCUUUAGCACUGAAUCAGCCCACGCUCACAAUCACAACCUCGUUUUGAGCACCAAGGAAGCUACAACAAUGGCGCAUGUUCUGGGUUUUCCUCUCAAGAAAGCAGGAGCUACUAAAUCUGUAGGUAUAUCUCAUACAAACACCACGAAGCGUCGACACGAGGUAUUGACAUCCUUGCUUUCCAAUUCUACAAAUCGGAAGGACAAAUGGUAUUGGGUUUUGCAGGUUAUUUUGGCAUAUUAUACUGGUGUUAUUGUGAUAAUGUAUGACGACUUCUUAACUGAUAAAUGUGGAUGGGGUAAUUGGUACCUUGUGGGACAAUUUGUGUUACACGCGCCCCUAAUUUAAAUCGUAUUUUUACUAAAUUUGAGUUUAUCUUGCUUUUAAAAUUAUUUUUGGGUUUUAAAUGGUGUGCCCAAGGCCCACCCCCUGUUUUGUCCCCCGUUCCCUUUCCCUUUCUUUUAUUUAUUUUCUUCUUUCUUCUUCUUCUUCUUCUUCUUUUCUGUUUCUUUUUCUUUCUUUUCCGUCUGUCCCUCUCGGCUCUCUCUGCGCCCUCUCUUCUCUGCACCGCAACAAGCACACGCACGCACCCAUUGCACCUGCGCGAGGAAGACCAUCAUCAUCUCGUCCUGCUCUCUCUCCCUCUCGUGUUUGCGAACCCAGAAAAUCGGAAAGGAUCUUCCGCGAGAUUUUUAUAUUUUCCGGUUAGGUAAGCCUCAAAUCCCUCUCUUUCGUCCUAGAAUCUUUUGAGAAUGGGUUCUAAUUGGUUUUAUUUCGUGAUUUUUGGAGGUUUUAGGAUGAAAACAAACUCGGGUGCAGGAACACCCAUUUCCGGCGAGGAACCCGCCACUUUCGAGUUAAUCUCCGGCCAAACCACGGCGAGUUGGCCGGCGUGCAAGGUAUCAAUCUCUUCGUCUCGUCGAUUACUACAACUUUCCUUUUUGUUUCACCCAAUUUCGUUGAGUAUUGAAGAAGUUAUACUCAUUUGAAUCUUACCCAGUUUCCGGCGAGUCCGACGGCUUUCGAGGCGUUUUCCGGUCAAACCACGGCGAAUUAGACGUCGUGUGAGGUACCAUUCUCUUCGUCUCUUCGAGGGCUACAACUUUCGUUUUUGUCUCGCUUGAUUUCGUUGAGUUUUAACAAAGUUAUAGCCAUUUAAAAUUGGGUGGUUUUCCGGCCGAAAUUCCAGCCUUCUUCUUCCUCGGGUCCGGCGACCCAUCAAACUUGGGCCCUUUGGGCCGUUUCUGUUAAGGGCUUUAAGCCCAAACCCUAAACCUUUGGGCUUUAGGACCAAACCCAAGAACCCAAACCCUAUGACCCAAACCCGGAUCCAAGCCCAGACCCGUUUGACCUGGUCCGACCCGGAUCCUGACCCGUUGACUUUGACCGGUCAACGUUGACUUUUCUAGUUGACUUUUCGGGUUUUCGUCCAAGACCUUCCUAGGCUAAUUUCGACGUCCUGGAUCCGUUUUUGAAGUUCGUUUUCCCAAAUUCAAUCGUUUGAGUAGAGUUUGACUAAAUGGAUCAUUUAUGUGCUUAGGUGAAUUUAAUGACGGCGGUUCCGUUAUUCCUAUUUGGUAUGGCGUUGCACCAACGGUGUACGGUGAGUGGACCCCUUCUAAAAUGCAUGUUUUAUAGUAGAAAUGCAUACAUAAAAAGUAUGAUUUGAUGAUUACCUUUUAUGAAACGUUUUGUGAGAUAACAUGCUUAUUGAGGCUACUUUAAAUUAUUACUAUUUUUCCUAUAACCCGUGUUCUUAUAGAAUAUCUGAUGGAUGACGAUAUGAUAUUAGAACAUGUUUAGAACACCUCUUUAUAGUAUAGAUGAUGGAUGACUUUAUACUAUGAAGUUGUUUUUCAAUAUAUAUGUUCAAUGGUUUUGUACUUACCUAGUGGUCAUUUCCGCUACGGGACGUAGGGAUAGAUUCCGGUCAUUCCCGGGCGACGGUUUGGUGUUGGCAUAGGGCCUGGAGUGUGUUUCCUCUGGCUAUUUAGCACAGGGACGGGGAGCCGGCAUGGGGCCUGAAGUGUAUUUUCCUCUGACUGUCUGCUCAGAGACGGGGAGCCGGCAUGGGGCCUGGGGGUUAUCGGACAAUUCACUAGUGAUUAUUAUAUAUAUAAAAGUUAUGAUUUGAGACACUGCACAUCAUGCUAGGUUUCGGAAAACCUAUGUUUAUCAUUAUAUAUGUGUUUUCAUAAAACUUGGGGGUUAGUACGUUGAUAACUGUUUUGUUAUAUUUAUAUCAAAUUGGUCCACUCAUGUUUGUUUUGCGCCCCCUUCAGGAUUUAGGAUCGAGGCGUACAAUCCCGGCAAUCCAGGCACUUCCGCAUCGGUAUCUUCAAGUCCUCUCGGUGUAGAACCCACUUCUGUGUUCAUUCAAUUUUUAUAUUAAUUCUUUUAAUGUUCUAGAUUAGAUGUGUGCUCUGAACACGUUCCUUAAAUGCAUAUUCUUUAUUUAUAUUUAUAAGUUUUAUCUAUCCUUUAUUUUCAGCAAUUGCACUCAAUAAAUGGCUUUCGUCGCCCUCGGGUGUCGGCCAGCACGUGACCAUCCUGAUAUCCUGAGGAUAUCGGGAUCGGGGCGUGUCAGAUUGGUAUCAGAGCGUGGUUUGUUCAGAGCAUACUUAGGAUCCUCUUCUAUUAUCGUAGAGUGUUGGUUUUGACAUCAUUUGGAUGUCCAGACUUCUAGAUUUGGUGCCAUUCGGCGCAGUCGUGCGAAUCUUCCUCUAUUUGAAUUGUCACAUUCGGGUUGAUAUACAAGAAUUUGUGUCGGGAUUGUGCCUCAUCGGUGACGUGUUUGAAUUGUUGGACGACUUUCAGCUUCAGAUUGAUACUCUACGACGUGCAUUCCCUGGGAAUGACGGGCAUAGUCGGUGUUACUUGGAAGCGACGGAUUUUAGAAAUCUCAGCUUAAGGAAGUCUGGUCAAGACCAGCUGUAAAUUCGAAAUGGCGAUGCCACUCUACAACAUGCGUUCCCUAGGAAUUGCGGGCGGAGUCGGCUUUGCAUCGAAAUCUUGGGAAGCGGAAAAAAAAUCUUGGCAGUACGAAUUGACUAAGACCAACUGGAGUUCUGAAGCGGUGUUGUACUCUGCAACAUGCGUUCCUUAGGAAUGGCGGGCAGAGUCGUAUCUCUUUAGAAAUUACUCGAAACUUUCGAAAUGCAGAUUGAAGAAGCGAGUAAGUGCUAGUGGUGACGACGGUUAGUAGGUGGUAGUUGGUGGGAGCAAAAUCAAUGUUCUCGAACUCAUUACCACUGAAGAAAUUUGGGUGAAUCUUUAUAACAGUUCUCUGUGAUUGUUUUAUCGAUUACCUUCUCGUUUAUUCCAACGACGAAGUCAAGUUCACUGACCUUUGAUCGUCAGCUUCACAUCAAAUCCCUCGAGAGUUGACUUCGUCUAGAGAUUAUACUUUUCUUGGGAAACUCCUCGGUAGCAGACGUUAUUCUCAUCAAUUUCGAAAUGGAGUUGCGAUUCUUGUUGUUGUUGUAGUUGAACUUGGAUAAUGAAGAUUCAGCCUUGUUUGGAUAAACAAAUUCCUUGAACUUCACCUGGGUUUGGUACUUGGUAGUAAACCCUAGUUCCUCAUCCGUGUACUUUUCAGUGAAGGUGAACUUAGUCCCUUGCUUGCAACCUAACUGUUCAGCCUUGUAAUUUUCAGCGUAAUGGCUUGAGACUCUAUCAUAUUCAUCAUUGUACGAAGAUCGAGCUUUACUCUGAACUUCUCUGGGCUCGUUAAGCUUUGAUUUGCUCAGAGGCAUCACUUUAAGGUAGCCAAUCGUGUCACUGCAUGCAUACACAAGCUGCUUUGUAUCUUUCUUCUUCGUUAUUCUGCUGAUUCAGAGGUUUUAUGUUUAAUUUCUGAAUUUUUAAAUGACUAUCGCGAAGUACCGUGAAUCUCGAAAUGUCUUUGGCCUCGUCAAAUCUUAUUAAUAGUUCUUGACUAUUCUUGAGAUUAGACUUGUUCCUUUUGGCUAAGAAACCAGUCGACCUUAUUGUGAUGAGUAGCCAAAUAAUCAUAAACAGUAACUUCUAUUUCUGCAUCUUCAUUUUCCUUCGUUUGUUUGUUUGUUUCUCAAUGUGAACUGGAUCAUGCCGGGACAUUACACGAAGGGUGUAAAAAAAAAAAAAAAAAAAAACGUUUGUUCUCGGCGUGGUUUCUAGUUCAAAUCCGGAUAUCUUGUACUCUAUAUUUAAUGGACUUGUUUUGAACCUUAAAUUCCUGAGUGUUCUUUUAGCCUUAUCGACAUGGUUUCUCUCUCAAUUAGUGAGAAAUUCAUGAUCGAUGGUUUCGGCGGAAGUGUGCGCCCAAUUCUUAUCGAUUUGGACAGGAAUGUUGGGAGCAUAAUCUUUUCACAAGCUUACUAGACUUACCAGAAAGAGUUCCACGUGGGUGUGAAGUUUGAGUUGUCUUUUGGUAAGAGACUGGUGAAGAUUGUGGUGCAGAUGAUUAGCAGAUUGUAUCACUAUCUUCACGCUGAAUUGAAUGGUCACCAUUCAUUAUCCUGCUGCAAUUCAUAAUCAUCAUAUCUUACUCUGGUAGACAUUUUUGAUGAUGUGUUCGCCUCAACGCAGCUUUCCACUACCUCUCACCAGGAUCCUUCGGUUCGAGAGCACGUGGGCGUGAGGUUGAGCGGUCUUUUAGUAAGAGUUGGUUGAAGGUUUUAGUUCAGAAGGUCAGCAUAUUGUAUCACCAUCUUACUAGAAUUCAUAGGCAUCACAUCGGUUAUUUUCCAACGAUAUGUGUUCGUGUCAAUGCAUACUUCGACUGCUUCACUUCUGAACCUUAUUCUUGUGAGUAUGUGGAUGUUGAAUCACUUAUAGCAGAUUUGUUUGGUGCACUCUGGAAUGGCACCACAACGUAGUUGAGAUAAGAAUCGGAAGAUCUUUGCACUUUUUGCGAAUGGUGUGUGCUCUCAUGGGGUGUUUAGGUUGAUUGCAUGAGAGUCAUUCUUUCCUCCAACAUUGAUCUUGUUUGACUAGAAAUCUGCAACUAAGCAAAAAUGGAGAGGUGGAUUGAGCACUACAACAGUUCCCAAGAGAUACUGCGUGUUGAGGAAGAUGACUUCUCGUUUUCUGCUUACCUAGUUCGAGCUUUUGGGUCUACUACUAACAUGGUGGCCACUUCUCUUGAAUCCCAAAGUACAGUUUCAAAUGGGUUCUUUGUUGGCAUAACUCUGGAGUAGUUGGUCACAUUUGGAAUAACUGAGGAAGAGGUUGUGCUUGGUACUAAAGGGAGUUAGUAUGACGAUAGUUAUUGGUUUUGUUCGAUUUGGGUAUGGCACUAUUUGCGACAUGGUACGAGAGUUGCUACACGCAACAUUGGUUGAUAGAGGAGACGUGCAAGCUUGUACUUGGAGGAUCGAAUUUUCGACGUGUGAAAUUGUGCACCCUCAGGAAAUUACUGCUUGUUUACUGAGACAACAAAUGUGUGGUCGAUAUCGCGGGCGGCCGACUGUGGUAUCGAUAAUUUAUUUGUUGGGUUCGUUAAGCAAGUGGGGCAGGAAUAUCCUUUUACGGCAGCCGUUAAAGAUUCACUAUUGUUAGAACUGGACCCAAAGACACAUCUAUUUUCGGAGUACGCGACGUUUCGAAUUCUUGGGCAAGACCCACUCUCAUUCUUCAGUUUUGGUUUUCAGUAUAAGUAUUUUAACCUCAUUUACUCUAGUUAAUUGUUUUGCCAUUACAAAUGUUUUUGGAAAAGUAUUUCCGUUUUCAGUUUUUAAGUGUAGCUCGAAUUUUCAACCUAUAUGUUGGUACAUAUCCAUUUUGACGUUAUCGUAUGUUAUGUUCUUACUUUUGACCUUAAUCUAUUUUAUGUUUUCGACUUUAUAUCUUUAUAAAGUAUGUUUUCUACUUUUACACUGAUGGGGAAGAAAGUAAGCUUGGAGGCAUGAUAGAGGAUUUUGCAACCCGCUCGCGACGGUGUGGUAUAUUCUCUUUGAUGCACCCACUCUGACUUGAUUUCUCUUUAUACAUAUAUUCUUCUUACUAUUUUCGUGUAUUUCAGUUUAGUAGGUGAUUUUAAAUUUCGGGGACGAAAUUCUUUUUAAGGGGGGUAGAUUGUUACACCCGCCCCUAAUUUAAAUCGUAUUUUCACUAAGUUUGAGUUUAUCUUGCUUUUAAAAUUGUUUUUGGGUCUUAAAUGGUGUGCCCAAGGGGCCCCACCCCCUGUUUUGUCCCCCGUUCCCUUUCCCUUUCUUUUAUUUAUUUUCUUCUUUCUUCUUCUUCUUCUUCUUCUUUUCUGUUUCUUUUUCUUUCUUUUCCGUCUGUCCCUCUCGGCUCUCUCUGCGCCCUCUCUUCUUUGCACCGCAACAAGCACACGCACGCACCCAUUGCACCUGCGCGAGGAAGACCAUCAUCAUCUCGUCCUGCUCUCUCUCCCUCUCGUGUUUGCGAACCCAGAAAAUCGGAAAGGAUCUCCCGCGAGAUUUUUAUAUUUUCCGGUUAGGUAAGCCUUAAAUCCCUCUCUUUCGUCCUAGAAUCUUUGAGAAUGGGUUCUAAUUGGUUUUAUUUCGUGAUUUUUGGAGGUUUUAGGAUGAAAACAAACUCGGGUGCAUGAACACCCAUUUCCGGCGAGGAACCCGCCACUUUCGAGUUAAUCUCCGGCCAAACCACGGCGAGUUGGCCGGCGUGCAAGGUAUCAAUCUCUUCGUCUCGUCGAUUACUACAACUUUCCUUUUUGUUUCACCCAAUUUCGUUGAGUAUUGAAGAAGUUAUACUCAUUUGAAUCUUACCCAGUUUCCGGCGAGUCCGACGGCUUUCGAGGCUUUUUCCGGUCAAACCACGGCGAAUUAGACGUCGUGUGAGGUACCAUUCUCUUCGUCUCUUCGAGGGCUACAACUUUCGUUUUUGUCUCGCUUGAUUUCGUUGAGUUUUGACAAAGUUAUAGCCAUUUAAAAUUGGGUGGUUUUCCGGCCGAAAUUCCGGCCUUCUUCUUCCUCGGGUCCGGCAACCCAUCAAACUUGGGCCCUUUGGGCCGUUUCUGUUAAGGGCUUUAAGCCCAAACCCUAAACCUUUGGGCUUUAGGACCAAACCCAAGAACCCAAACCCUAUGACCCAAACCCGGAUCCAAGCCCAGACCUGUUUGACCUGGUUCGACCCGGAUCCUGACCCGUUGACUUUGACCGGUCAACGUUGACUUUUCUAGUUGACUUUUCGGGUUUUCGUCCAAGACCUUCCUAGGCUAAUUUCGACGUCCUGGAUCCGUUUUUGAAGUUCGUUUUCCCAAAUUCAAUCGUUUGAGUAGAGUUUGACUAAAUGGAUCAUUUAUGUGCUUAGGUGAAUUUAAUGACGGCGGUUCCGUUAUUCCUAUUUGGUAUGGCGUUGCACCAACGGUGUACGGUGAGUGGACCCCUUCUAAAAUGCAUGUUUUAUAGUAGAAAUGCAUACAUAAAAAGUAUGAUUUGAUGAUUACCUUUUAUGAAACGUUUUGUGAGAUAACAUGCUUAUUGAGGCUACUUUAAAUUAUUACUAUUUUUCCUAUAACCCGUGUUCUUAUAGAAUAUCUGAUGGAUGACGAUAUGAUAUUAGAACAUGUUUAGAAUGUCACAGCCCGUCCCGGGAUUUCUAUAUCGGGGGCGUGAAUUGACGUAACUACCCUUGACGGACAUUCGGGUACGUGUGUGUGCGACAUUAUUGAAUUAAUUUUGUAAGUUUUGGGAUUUUAAUUUUGGAAUUUGGAAAUUUUUGUGGUUAGGGAAUUGGAUGGAUGGUGAGGAUUGUGUUGGACCACACAAUCACACACACACGCACUCCCUGUCUUCUCUCCCUCCCGUAGCUCUCUCUGUCCCUCUCCCUCACGAUCUCUCUCUUUCCCCUCACCCUAUACGUACGGCCUUCACCCAAAACCCUUCAAAACUCGACGGAUCGAGGCAAAUAAGGUAUGCAUCUUCAUCCUUUCGUCGUCCUGAGUUCAUUGGUGCUAGUUUUAGGAAGUGAAACCUUCGAUUUCACAUAGAUCCCGAACCUCCAUUUUUGAGGUACUGUUCAUGCGAACGUAAAAUGUUGUGUUUCAGGAGAUUUCAAGCUUGUGGUGAGCUUUAGGAGGUUCCUAAGGAAGCUCGGGGACGUUCGUUGGAGAGUUUUGGACGUCGGGAUCGUAGGUUUCAAGUUUGGCCGAAUCUUUGGUUUUUCCAAGGUGAGAUUUCGUAGUUUUUAGGCCCUAAAACAAGUCCAACGUGAUUGUACACUCUUAGGGCUUCAAUUUGGUAUAAAAUACGAAGAAAAUGGGUGAAAAACGAAGGAGAAUAGUGAGUUUGAAAAUCGGCCGGAGUUCGGCCGGAGUCCGGCCACCAGAGAACCAGUCCGGCGAGACCUGCGAAGAAGACGACACGUGCGCUGCACGUGCUGCGCGUGGCCAGCGCGUGGACCCGUGCCACGUGUGGCGCGUGGGGGCGCGUGGGGCUUCCAAAAAUUUUUCUAAAAAUUUCUCGACGCUCGUGACGUCGAGUAGGUCGAUGUGGUAUAUUAUUAUACCAAAAUUGAGCAUCGUAUGAGAAGUUAUUUCAAAUUAUUGGUGAUGUGCUUAAAAUUAAUGUUUUUAUAGUUGUUUCGCAUAUAGGUGAGACGUAUCCCGAGGACGACCGCAUCCAGGGACGCCACGGGGGUUACGACGACCCGUCGACUUAUCAGUGAGUGGGCAGUUUUGUUUUCGUAUUACCUAUAUACUACUGUUUUUCCCAGAAAAAUGUUUAUAUGAAAAUAUGUUUUGAAUAUGCCAUGCAUAGAAUUAUUUGAAAAUCAUGAAUUGGUUUAUGAACUAUAUGAUUGAAAUAUGAUGCAUACAUGUUGCAUGGUGCUGUGGAGGCACAGGUAAGUCAGGUGAGUUCAUUUAUUCAUUGAAUUGUUGUUGUUGAGAUGAGUUGAGCUCAUAAUCUGCACCCUAGGUGUUAGUGCUUAUAUUAUUCACCACACCGCACGCUCGUCUUGGAUCCAAGUAGGUGGAUGUCGUACAGACCAUGUGAGGGUUCCGACAUGCUAGUCGUACAGAUCACUAGGCGUGAUUCCGACUAGUGGGUGACCUUAGUUAUGCGCGCUGAUGAUAUGAUGAGAGAAGCACUAGAGCGUAUUUUUACACCUUUCAUCGUAUAGACUACCUUACGUAGUUCCGAGUGAUGUGCAGAGUAGGGCCGUAUAGGUCACUGUGGUGACUCCGGCUUAGUGGGAUUUUUGAGCUAUUGAAUUAAUCGUAUAGGACCAACUGCAGGGUCUCCGAUUGAUUCCUUAUUUCACCUGAUUUAUAUUUUUUAUUUAUGUCAUGGCAUGUUUUCUUGAAAAUGUUAAAGAUUUGAGAUUUAAAUGUUGAGAUUUUAUAUGGUUAUAUAUAUUUCUGGGAAAGUAUACAGGUUUUUACGGCGAGGGGAUAUAACUGUUUUAAUGAAAUGUUUUGGAAAACUAAUUUGUUUUACUGACCCACUCAUUUUGUUUUGCGCCCCUCCAGGUUCUAGUUUAGCGGUGGUUGGCUCACGAGGUCCUUUCCGGCUUUCUGACAGAUUUGGGACAUGUAGGACUCACCUGAGGGUGAUGUAUUCUUAUUUUAGUCCUACUUGACUGCAGUUAACCUAUGCUCUGAACUUAUGUGUUUACUUGUAAACUCGUCCGGUUAUGUCCGUAUGUGGUUAUGUUGAGUUUGGGUUGAAUUUCUGUUGUUAUUACGCUUCCGUGUCGUGCUUAUGGUUACGUCACGCCCACGUGACGGCCAGCACACCUGGAUCCUCCGGAUCAGGGUGUGUCAGUUUGGUAUCAGAGCUUAGGUUGCAGUCCUGUAAAAUUGUUAAUGUCUUAACGAUCUUUUUGAUGUUUUCUGUCAGAAUCAUGCCGCCUCGUAGAGAGCGUAGGGAGUCCCGCCGUACUCCUGAACCUAAUUUCCCAGAUAUUACUCAGUUAGGGGAAGCGAUGGCCCAGGCUUUACAGAAUGUGAUUCGUCCUCCCCCUCCUCCGAGGACACCUCUGGAGACCAUGUACAACUUGAAGUUAGAUCGGUUUAUGGGUAAUGAAAGUCAUGAGGGGGCAGAGAAAUGGCUUGAUCAUAUUGAGAAAACCUUUCAGGUGAUGCAGAGUCAGGGGAAUCUCCCUGCUAAUAGGUGGGUGGAGACCACCACUUGGUUUCUGGGUUGUGAACCAGCAGCAUGGUGGAUAAAUCAGGCUAGGUACAUGUCACCUGAGACGGCAGCCGACUGGAAAGUAUUCAAGGAGCAUUUUAUGAAGAGAUUUCGUUCCUCCUGAGUAUAUUGACCGUAAGAAGCAGGAAUUCACCAGGUUGAAACAGAGAAAUAUGUCGGCACAUGAAUAUUAUAGAAAGUUUACUGAUUUGUCUCGUUAUGACACUGAUAUAGCUGGUAAUCAGGGAGAGAUGCUUCGACGUUUCAAGUUGGGAUCUAAGAAGAAGUGGCGUACCUUUGCCAAUGCACUUCCCUGCGCUGAUUAUCAUGAGUAUUUCGAGAUUUUGGUUAGGAUGGAGGACUCUGAUAAUCUUCCUGACAGUGAGGAUGACGAGGACAAGAAUGAGGGUCAGAAGAAGAAUGAUAAGGGUAAGGGUAUUUCUAUUCCUGGACCUCGACAGACACAGAGUUUUUAAGAAGAGUGGAGCGAGUUCGAGUUCUUCUAGUGGGGGAUAUAGUUUUACUGGCCCGAGGAGAGGUGGUGGAAGAUUUUCUGGUGGACCCAGAUUUCAGGGUCAGAGGGAUGCUGGUGGAUCUGGCGCUCCAUGGUGCCGCCGUUGUAACUCCCGUCACCAUGGUGAGUGUAGGAGAGGUUCUGGUGCCUUGUUUUUACGUGUGGGACAGAUGGGACAUCGGGCUUCUCAGUGCCCCCAGGGUCAGCAGAGACCGCAGCAGACUAAUAUGCCACCUCCAGCACCAGUUCAGCAGAGUUUUGGGACCGGGUGGUUAUGGCCAGCCGAGUCGUGGUGGUGCCUACCACUAUCAGGGGGAUGCUGCUCCGUAUGCUUCCGGACCUUAUCAGUAUUCUCAGGAGCCUUAUCCUCAGGCAGGGUAUUCUCAGGAUUUUGGAGGUUAUUCUUCUUAUUCCUCUAUGCCAGCUGGUGGAUCGCAGUGGCAUCAGGGAGGCCAGCCCCGUCAGGGGGAAGUUGCUACUGGUGGUGCAGGAUCAUCCAGGCAGCCUAGUCAGCCAGGCCAGGGACGAGGUAAUCAGGGCAAUAGAGGCCGAGGUGGACGUCAGCAAGCUCAGGGGCGAGUUAAUCAUAUUGUCCCUGCAGGAGGCUCAGAACCAUCCAGACUUGAUAAUGGGUACGUUAAAUGUUCUUGGUCAUUUUGCUAAGGUUUUGAUUGAUUGUGGCGCUACGCACUCUGUGAUUUCUCAUACGUUUGCUCAAAUAACCCAACCUCACCCUUCACCUCUAGGAUUUGAUUUAGAGUUUGCCAUGCCUAGAGGAGAUAAAUGUAUUGUGGAUAGUGUGUAUCUGGGGUGUCCAGUGAUGGUUGAGGGCGUGAUUAUGUCCGCUGAUCUUAUUCCGUUAGAUAUUGUGGAUUUUGAUGUGAUUUUAGGGGCCGAUUGGUUACACCAUAAUCGUGCCCAUAUUGAUUGUUAUGGUAAAUCAGUUACUUUUUAUCGUCCUGGAUUACCCGAGGUUAUUUUUGUGGGCGAGAGAAGUGGGGUGAGACAUGGAGUUAUUUCUGCCAUAAGGGCGAGGAAAUUAUUAUCGAAGGGUUGUCAGGGAUAUUUGGCACAUGUGGUAUUAAAUGAUGUUGCUCCUACUAGUAUAGAAGAAGUUGGUGUGGUCAGACAUUAUCCGGAUGUUUUCCCUGAUGAUUUGCCGGGAUUGCCGCCAGACAGAGAGGUGGAAUUCUCUAUUGAUUUGCUUCCAGGUACGGACCCUAUAUCUCUGACUCCUUAUAGAAUGGCUCCUGCUGAGUUAAGGGAAUUAAAAAUCCAGUUGCAAGAAUUACUUGAUAAAGGUUUUAUUCAACCUAGUUCUUCACCUUGGGGUGCCCCAGUAUUAUUUGUGAAGAAGAAGGAUGGAACUCUUUCGAUUGUGUAUUGAUUAUAGACAAUUGAACCGGGUAACGAUUAAAAACCGUUAUCCAUUGCCCCGCAUUGAUGAUUUGUUUGAUCAGCUGAAAGGUGCGUGUGUAUUUUCUAAGAUUGAUUUGAGAUCCGGGUAUUAUCAAUUGAAGAUUAAAGAAGACGAUGUACCUAAGACGGCUUUCCGAACUCGGUACGGACAUUAUGAAUUUUCGGUUAUGCCGUUUGGGUUGACUAAUGCACCUGCAGCUUUUAUGAGAUUAAUGAAUGAGGUAUUCCAGAAAUAUCUUGAUAAAUUUGUUAUUGUUUUUAUUGAUGAUAUUCUGGUAUACUCUAAGUCCCAAGCAGAUCAUAUCCGACACCUUAAUUUGGUGUUAAGGAAAUUAAGGGAGCAUCAGUUGUAUGCCAAGUUCAGUAAAUGUCAGUUUUGGUUGACUGAAGUGGCAUUUUUGGGGCAUGUUGUAUCAGCUCAAGGUAUUCAAGUUGAUCCUCAAAAGAUUGCAGCAGUGGAGAAUUGGGAGCAACCUCGAACCGUCACGGAGGUACGAAGUUUUCUUGGCUUAGCAGGUUAUUAUCGACGGUUCGUUCAGGAUUUCUCUAUGAUUGCUUUACCGUUGACAAAGUUGACCAGGAAGGAUGUUAAAUUUGAGUGGGAUGAGAAUUGUGAGCGGAGUUUUCAACAAUUGAAGUAUUGCCUCACUCAUGCACCGGUGUUGGUACUUCCCGACGAUAGCGGUAAUUUUGAGAUAUAUAGUGAUGCUUCAUUAAAUGGUUUGGGAUGUGUUUUGAUGCAGCAUAAUAAGGUGAUUGCCUAUGCUUCUAGGCAGUUGAAAAAAUCAUGAAAGGAACUAUCCUACUCACGAUCUUGAAUUGGCAGCAAUUGUUUUUGCUUUGAAAAUUUGGAGGACAUUACUUUGUAUGGUGAGAAGUGUAAGAUCUUCACUGAUCACAAGAGUCUUCAGUAUUUGUUUACUCAGCAUGAUCUUAAUCUUCGUCAGCGAAGGUGGAUGGAAUUGUUAAGUGAUUAUGAUUGUUCUAUUGAAUACCAUCCAGGUCGUGCUAAUGUAGUAGCGGAUGCACUGAGUAGGAAACCUCAAGGUAGACUUAAUGCCCUUAUAUGCUAGUCGUGUUCCUCUUCUUGCUGAAUCUGAGGACAACUGGGGUAAGGUUGGAAAUUGAAAGACCGAGGAUGGAGCUUUUCUUGCUAGUUUUCAAGUCAGGCCAGUUUUGGUGGAGCGUAUACUUGCAGCUCAGAUGGUGAAUGAGGAAAGUUCAAGGAGUUGGUUCAGUUAAGAAGUGAAGGGAAAAAGAAAGACCUCAGAAUUCGGGAAUCAGACGGUAUGCUCAUGCAAGAAGACAGAAUGUAUGUUCCGAAUAAUGAGGAAUUGAAGAAGGAAAUUCUGGACGAAGCACAUUGUUCAGCUUAUGCGAUGCAUCCGGGAGGAACAAAAAUGUAUAUCAUACCAUUCGACCAUUUUAUUAUUGGCCGGGUAUGAAAAGAGAAAUUGCAGAAUAUGUGAGCAGGUGUAUUAUUUGCCAGCAAGUGAAAGCAGAAAGAAAGAAGCCAUUUGGGCGAAUGCAACCCCUUCCUGUUCCCCAGUGGAAAUGGGAAAAUAUAACCAAUGGAUUUCGUGUAUAAACUUCCUCGUACGCGAAAUGGAUUUGAUGGUAUUUGGGUGAUUGUGGAUCGACUCACCAAGUCGGCGCAUUUCAUUCCUGUGAGGGAGAAAUACCCUCUGAAUAAAUUGGCUAAGUUGUUUAUUUCGAAGAUUGUCAAGUAUCAUGGAGUCCCAGUAAAUAUUAUCUCCGAUCGAGACCCGAGGUUUACUUCUAAAUUUUGGGUGGCUUUUCAGGAAGCUCUGGGUACUCAAUUACUGUAUAGCACAGCUUAUCAUCCUCAAACUGAUGGGCAAUCAGAGAGGACCAUUCAGACGUUGGAAGGAUAUGUUGAGAUCUUCAGUACUGCAAUUUGGUGAUUCUUGGCAUGAUCGUCUGGACUUAAUGGAGUUUGCUUAUAAUAACAGUUUUUCACUCGAGCAUUGGUAUGUCCCCAUUCGAGGCACUUUAUGGUAGGGCGUGUCGAACGCCAUUAUGUUGGUCUGAGGUUGGUGAACGGGUAUUAGAAGGCCCUGAGAUCGUGGAUGAGACGACUCAAAAUGUUCAGAUAAUUAAGUCAAACCUGAAAGCAGCCCAGGAUCGACAGAAGAGUUUAGCGGAUCGGCAUACUACUGAUCGAGUGUAUGAUGUGGGUGAUUGGGUAUUUUUGAAAUUGUCGCCUUGGAGAGGUGUAGUACGAUUUGGGAAAAGAGGAAAGUUAAGCCCGAGAUAUAUUGGACCUUAUGUGAUCACUGAAAGAGUUGGUGAAGUUGCCUAUCGGUUGGAACUGCCUCCGGAGUUAUCUAAGGUCCAUAAUGUGUUCCACGUCUCUAUGCUUCGGCAUUAUAUUUCUGAUCCUUCUCAUGUGAUCCCUCCUCAACCGUUAGAGAUUAAUCCGGAAUUUGACGUAUGAUGAGGAACCGGUCACUAUCUUGGAUUGGAAAGAUAAGGUUCUAAGGAACAAGACGGUGAGUUUGGUAAAGGUGUUGUGGAUGAACCAUUCUGCAGAGGAAGCCACCUGGGAGACGGAAGAUCGGAUGAGAGAGAUGUACCCAAGGUUAUUUUAUGGGUACUAAGUGGUUAAUUUGGAUUGUGGGAAUUUCGGGGACGAAAUUCUAUAAGGAGGGGAGAUUGUCACAGCCCGUCCCCGGGAUUUCUAUAUCGGGAAUGUGAAUUGACAGUAACUACCCUUGAUUGGACAUUCGGGUACGUGUGUGUGCGACAUUAAAUUGAAAUUUUGUAAGUUUUGGGAUUUUAAUUUUGGAAUUUGGAAAUUUUUUGUGGUUAGGGAAUUGGAUGGAUGGUGAGGAUUGUGUUGGACCACACAAUCACACACACACGCACUCCCUGUCUUCUCUCCCUCCCGUAGCUCUCUCUGUCCCUCUCCCUCACGAUCUCUCUCUUUCACCCUCACCCUAUACGUACGGCCUUCACCCAAAACCCUUCAAAACUCGACGGAUCGAGGGGCAAAUAAGGUAUGCAUCUUCAUCCUUUCGUCGUCCUGAGUUCAUUGGUGCUAGUUUUAGGAAGUGAAACCUUCGAUUUCACAUAGAUCCCGAACCUCCAUUUUUGAGGUACUGUUCAUGCGAACGUAAAAUGUUGUGUUUCAGGAGAUUUCAAGCUUGUGGUGAGCUUUAGGAGGUUCUAAGGAAGCUCGGGGACGUUCGUUGGAGAGUUUUGGACGUCGGGAUCGUAGGUUUCAAGUUUGGCCGAAUCUUUGGUUUUUCCAAGGUGAGAUUUCGUAGUUUUUAGGCCCUAAAACAAGUCCAACGUGAUUGUACACUCUUAGGGCUUCAAUUUGGUAUAAAAUACGAAGAAAAUGGGUGAAAAAACGAAGGAGAAUAGUGAGUUUGAAAAUCGGCCGGAGUUCGGCCGGAGUCCGGCCACCGGAGAACCAGUCCGGCGAGGACCUGCGAAGAAGACGACACGUGCGCUGCACGUGCUGCGCGUGGCCAGCGCGUGGACCCGUGCCACGUGUGGCGCGUGGGGGCGCGUGGGGCUUCCAAAAAAUUUUUCUAAAAAUUUCUCGACGCUCGUGACGUCGAGUAGGUCGAUGUGGUAUAUUAUUAUACCAAAAAUUGAGCAUCGUAUGAGAAGUUAUUUCAAAUUAUUGGUGAUGUGCUUUAAAAUUAAUGUUUUUAUAGUUGUUUCGCAUAUAGGUGAGACGUAUCCCGAGGACGACCGCAUCCAGGGACGCCACGGGGGUUACGACCCGUCGACUUAUCAGUGAAUGGGCAGUUUUGUUUUCGUAUUACCUAUAUACUACUGUUUUUCCCAGAAAAAUGCAUUUAUAUGAAAAUAUGUUUUUGAAUAUGCCAUGCAUAGAAUUAUUUGAAAAUCAUGAAUUGGUUUCACAUGAACUAUAUGAUUGAAAUAUGAUGCAUACAUGUUGCAUGGUGCUGUGGAGGCACAGGUAAGUCAGGUGAGUUCAUUUAUUCAUUGAAUUGUUGUUGUUGAGAUGAGUUGAGCUCAUAAUCUGCACCCUAGGUGUUAGUGCUUAUAUUAUUCACCACACCGCACGCUCGUCUUGGAUCCAAGUAGGUGGAUGUCGUACAGACCAUGUGAGGGUUCCGACAUGCUAGUCGUACAGAUCACUAGGCGUGAUUCCGACUAGUGGGUGACCUUAGUUAUGCGCGCUGAUGAUAUGAUGAGAGAAGCACUAGAGCGUAUUUUUACACCUUUCAUCGUAUAGACUACCUUACGUAGUUCCGAGUGAUGUGCAGAGUAGGGCCGUAUAGGUCACUGUGGUGACUCCGGCUUAGUGGGAUUUGAGCUAUUGAAUUAAUCGUAUAGGACCAACUGCAGGGUCUCCGAUUGAUUCCUUAUUCACCUGAUUUAUAUUUUUUAUUUAUGUCAUGGCAUGUUUUCUUGAAAAUGUUAAAGAUUUGAGAUUUAAAUGUUGAGAUUUUAUAUGGUUAUAUAUAUUUCUGGGAAAGUAUACAGGUUUUUACGGCGAGGGGAUAUAACUGUUUUAAUGAAAUGUUUUGGAAAACUAAUUUGUUUUACUGACCCACUCAUUUUGUUUUGCGCCCCUCCAGGUUCUAGUUUAGCGGUGGUUGGCUCACGAGGUCCUUUCCGGCUUUCUGACAGAUUUGGGACAUGUAGGACUCACCUGAGGGUGAUGUAUUCUUAUUUUAGUCCUACUUGACUGCAGUUAACCUAUGCUCUGAACUUAUGUGUUUACUUGUAACUCGUCCGGUUAUGUCCGUAUGUGGUUAUGUUGAGUUUGGGUUGAAUUUCUGUUGUUAUUACGCUUCCGUGUCGUGCUUAUGGUUACGUCACGCCCACGUGACGGCCAGCACACCUGGAUCCUCCGGAUCAGGGUGUGUCAUAGAACACCUCUUUAUAGUAUAGAUGAUGGAUGACUUUAUACUAUGAAGUUGUUUUUCAAUAUAUAUGUUCAAUGGUUUUGUACUUACCUAGUGGUCCUUUCCGCUACGGGACGUAGGGAUAGAUUCCGGUCAUUCCCGGGCGACGGUUUGGUGUUGGCAUAGGGCCUGGAGUGUGUUUCCUCUGGCUAUUUAGCACAGGGACGGGGAGCCGGCAUGGGGCCUGAAGUGUAUUUUCCUCUGACUGUCUGCUCAGAGACGGGGAGCCGGCAUGGGGCCUGGGGGUUAUCGGACAAUUCACUAGUGAUUAUUAUAUAUAUAAAAGUUAUGAUUUGAGACACUGCACAUCAUGCUAGGUUUCGGAAAACCUAUGUUUAUCAUUAUAUAUGUGUUUUCAUAAAACUUGGGGGUUAGUACGUUGAUAACUGUUUUGUUAUAUUUAUAUCAAAUUGGUCCACUCAUGUUUGUUUUGCGCCCCCUUCAGGAUUUAGGAUCGAGGCGUACAAUCCCGGCAAUCCAGGCACUUCCGCAUCGGUAUCUUCAAGUCCUCUCGGUGUAGAACCCACUUCUGUGUUCAUUCAAUUUUUAUAUUAAUCCUUUUAAUGUUCUAGAUUAGAUGUGUGCUCUGAACACGUUCCUUAAAUGCAUAUUCUUUAUUCUCUUAUAUUUAUAAGUUUUAUCUAUCCUUUAUUUUCAGCAAUUGCACUCAAUAAAUGGCUUUCGUCGCCCUCGGGUGUCGGCCAGCACGUGACCAUCCUGAUAUCCUGAGGAUAUCGGGAUCGGGGCGUGUCAAUUUGUGAAGAAGAAUUUUUAUGCACUGCAACUGUUUGAUCGUCUGUCUAAGAGAGGGAGUGCAAAUGUACAUGUGCUUUAUGUGGCCUCUUUAGAUAUGCAUGAUUUAGAAGCUAGCCCUAAACUGGAUGGUAGUAGCAGCAAGCCAAGGGUUAAAGAAGUGUCUUCUGAAGAAAAAGAUAAUGUGUCUCACAUUGAGAUUAAGAUUACUGAAUACCAUAGCUCCGAUGAAAAGUGUGUUCUGAGGUAUCUUAAUCUUUCAGACAACGCCAUGGGCAACUAUGGUGUCAAUGCAUUUGAGUCACUUCUUAGUUCACAAAACAAUUUGAGAGAACUUUAUUUGAUGAAUAUGGCAAGGCUCAAUAUGUGUCAUAACAUGAGGGAGUGGCACUGCGAUGCUAUUAGGAAGAUCAAAUGGCUGAAUGAGAAUGAGAUUUCUGUUAUGAUCAAUACCGAAGGACAAGCAAACUAUGAAGGUUUUUUUUAUUGUAUCAAAUAUGGUGAGGAGCUCACUUUUAAGCUGUUGCUCUAUUUCCAAGCUGUCAAGGCAAAAAGUCUUGGGUUUACUAAACUUGGGUCACCAAAAGAGGCUAAGAAGGUUGUUGGGAACAUGAAUGAUGUUACUGCUAGUGCCAAACAGCUAAAGGAGAUGGAACAAGGCUUGACCAGUUUGAUAGUUUUGGGGAAUGGGCGAUUGUCUGAUCUUAUUGCACAGCUGCAGGAUAUAUUAGAGGGUGUAAAUGAAGCUGAUAUCUUGCCGGAGAAGUUUGAUAAUGCAGUUAUUAAAGCUCAGAUUCCACAAUUGGCUCGAGAAAUCAGGGAGUUAACCUCAUCUCGACCUGUAACCAUCUACAAUGAGAAUUCUUCCUCUAGUGGGAAUUAUGCUUCAUAUUUAGUUCCACUUGCUGCACUUGCUGCAAUGGGCUAUUGUUACAUGUGGUGGAGAGAUUGGUCAUUUUCAGAUGUGAUGUAUGUGACAAGGCAUAAUAUGGCAAAUGUUGUUGAAGCUCUAAUUAGAGAGGUAGCUAGCAAGAGCAAUGACUUUGCUGGGAACGGAACAACAAAUACAUUGAAGAUGAGUGAAUGCGCUAUGGGCACCUAUUUAGAUUUAGUAUGCUCUCUUAGUCACCUGGAAAGCAAUUUUGGUGGUGCCUUAGUUAUUGAUUUACAUGUUGAGUUCUCUUUGUUUUUCACUUGUAACCCUGACUGUCGGCUUUUAUGGGAUCCAGGAGAUGCAAUGGCUAAAACUGUUAAGAUGAUACUCUAUUUUAAAAAUGUCAAGGCAGAGUGGCUUAACAGGGUUACAAAAAUAACCAAGUUUGGUAGUUUUAUGGUACAAUUGGAUAGAAGUGUUGAAGCUUUGAAUAAGGGCAAAAAGCAAAAAACUAGAGAUGGUGGAUAUGGUGAUGAGAUAAAGAGAUUGCAUGAUUUAAGCGUGAACAAGGUUGUGGAUAUGGCGACUAGGUUCGAAAGUGCAUUGGUAGGACAUGUUAACAAUAUAAUUUGUAGUACUACUGUAAGAUUGGAGAGACUUCACUCCGAUGAUUGGUGGUGUUCUGCUAUAUCUCAACUGCUGAUGAUUGGUAAAUCCAUCGUAUCUAGUUCAAACAAAACUCAGGAAGCAAAUGUGGAUGCUGUUUUGGGAACCGGUGAUCCGAGUCUACUAGUUGAGAACACUUCAGUUGAGCAGCUUGGUUUCGUCAGAAAGGUGACAAUCUUUAAGGACUCCACUUCCAUUAUUGGUGAUGCAGCAUCAAAAGAUGGGUUGCAAGUCCAUGGUGUGUCUCCAUUUGACAUUAUGGGCAGAAAUCUUUUCUGGGAAAAGCAACUGCAAAGGCUGCAAAUGGGAGCUGUCACAAGAAAGUUCUUGGUGGUUAAUUUCAGUUCUGGUUUUGAUGAAUCUUCAUAUCUCUCUCGGGUUGAAAAUUUUGAGGAGAUGUCACAAGAAAAUUAUGGAGAGGCUACAGGAAACAAGAACUCACUCACUCAGUUCAAGCGAGCUGCCAUACCUGGAAGGAUUAUAAUGAUUUCAAAGUCAAGUUCUACAAUUCCAUUUUUAAGCCUUGAGGACAAGGCUAAUUUUCAAGGGGGAAGUAUUGUUAUGACCCAAAUUAUUACUGAGGUUUUAUGCUUUAUUACUGUGAGGAAUUGUUAAUAUGCCAGCUGGCAUUUAAAAGUGUAGAGGUUUUAUAAAAGGAGCCCCAGCUCCCCCAAAUGUAUCAGAUCAGAAUUUUACAAAAGAAAUCAAUAUUGGAGCUCUGCUCCUUCUUCUCUCAUUCCCUCUUCUUCCAUAGCUUUCUUGUGCCACUUGCAGGUUGAUUAAGGGAAUUGAGAAUUAGAUCUUAUCAUAACGUCACUACCACAACUCCCAAUAUCAUCACGCUGAAUGUCCACACUCGGUUUCUGCUCAAUUAAAGCGUCAAUUUCCUGCAAAAUACUCUCAUCGAAAUCAUCAUCGUUAAGAAUUCCAGAUGCAGAGAAAGAAUCAAAUGAAGUCAGAAACUGCGGUUGUCUGAUUGGAGUUGUGAAAGAAUCCGAUUUUGACACGCUUGAUUCGGUCCGGCUAACGCUUAAGCUCCCGGAACACGAAGCACUGCCAUAUUCACCACGCGCUGAAUUGUACCGGCUUGCGGAAAUCGGAAGCGGUGUUCUUUGAACUCUAUUGAGCUGAGUUGGCGUUUGGAUUCCAUUUCCGCCAAAAAACACAAUUGAAUUGAUUUAAAUUGAAGCAAGAAAACAGCCAAGUAGCCAAAAAAUAGUAAGAAGAUGAAACCUUUGAUUCCUGAACGACUUACUUGGUAUGAGGGAGGUGAUGAUCAGGUGAAACGGCGUCGUUGCAGGGGCGUUUGCGAUCAAUGAGGGCCUUGGCGGCUCUGAAAUUCCGAGAGAUGCGGUUUCUUUGUUCCGCCGUGAGCCCUCCGCCGUACGCCUGAACGUUUUCCUUGGACAUUGCUUCCAAGAUUCCAACGGAGGAUUUGGCCUGACGGCCUGACCAGGCUGAUAACAGUGUAAAACCUUAGGAGCUAAGGAAAAACUAAGAGAGAGAUUGUAGAGAGGGAAAGUUUUUUCUUUUUGGAAACCAGUAGAGAGGGAAAGUUUGUUAAACCUGAAUAAUAUUCUUUUCAUUCAACUUGUCUACAAUAAUUACCACUCGUGGUAUUUAUACAUUUGUAACACACCUCACUAACUAACUAAGACCACCACCAAUCAUACAUAAACACUUGUCAUAAUCCUAUGCACUCAUAGUAUCAUCACUUUAACAUUCCCCUCAAGCUCAUGUGGCAGAUUGCCAAGCAUGAGAUUGGAACAAUUACGAGCGAACUGGGGUGAACACAAGCCUUUGGUGAACAUGUCGGCAUAUUGAUCUGCAGAGGUAACAAACUACAAAAUAAUUGUCCUUUGAUGAACUCUUUCACGAACAAAGUGGCAAUCAAUCUCUAUAUGUUUGGCUUUAUAGUGCAAUACAGGAUUAGUGGCAAGAGCCAUUGUUGAAAUGUUAUCACAAUGCAAAACUAGAACAGAAGGAGAACCAACAUGCAAAUCUCGAAGAAGCUGUUGUAUCCAGAUAACCUUAGCAGUGGUUGUAGCCAUUGCUCUAUAUUUAGCUUCAGUGGAAGACCUACUCACUGUAUGCUGCUUUUUAGAACUCCAAGAGAUAGGAGUAUCUCCCAAAAAAAUGACAAAACCCGUGGUUGAACGACAAUCAUUGGGAUCCCCUACCCAAUCAGCAUCUGUAUAAGCUUUCAACUGAGAUGAACCUGAUUUAAAACAUAAUCCCAAAGAUAUAGUGCCUCUGCGAUAUCGUAGAAUACGUUUCACAGCAGCAAAUGAGUGGCUAAGGGUGAAUGCAUAAACUGACGUACUUGAUUGACAGAAAAAUAAAUAUAUGGUCUUGUAAAUGUUACGUAUUGCAGUGCCCCAACAAUACUUUUGUAAGUGGUAGGAUCAAAAACAGGUUCACUACCAUGAUUCAGAAGCUUCUGAUUAGGAUGACAAGGUGUGGAAAAAAGGUUUACAGUCUAGCAUAUGCAUCUUUUAAAGGAGUUCUUUGACAUACUUGGUCUGAUGAACAAAGAGUCCCUGACCCUGAUACUCAAUCUGUAAACCAAGAAAAUAAUGCAACACACCUAGAUCUUUCAUGCCAAACUCACUAGUUAACUAACUAAUAACCUUCUGAACCUUCACAGCAUCAUUACCAGUGAGAAUGAUAUCAUCAACAUAUAAUAAGAGAACAAUAAUUGAUGAACCAUCACACUUGACAAAUAAAGAAGGAUCUGCAUAUGAUGACUUGAACCCAAGCUUAGGCAAAUAACCUGAAAACCUGUCAUGCUAGGCUCUGGGAGCUUGCUUGAGACCAUAUAAAAACCUCUCUAGUUUGCACACAUAAUCUGGAUAGGUAGAAUCCACAAACCUUUGGGACUGAGACAUAUAAACUUCUUCAUCAAGAAAGCCAUGCAAAAAAGCAUUAUUGACAUCUAACUGUUUGAGUUUCCAAUUAUGAGAUGCAGCCAAGGAUAAAACCAAUCGAACUAUGGUUGGUUUGACCACAGGGCUAAAGGUUUCAUAAUAGCUAAUACCAACUUCUUGAGAAUACCCAUUAGCUACAAUUCUAGCCUUGUACCUAGCCACUGAACCAUCUGGAUUUCUCUUAAUCUUGUAAAUCCAUUUACAACCAACAAGAUUUUUGUCAGGUGCUAAGGGCACAAGCUUCCAAGUAUGAAGCAUCCAUCUCUUCUUUCAUGGCAUUUUGCCAUUGAACACACUUGACUGCACUAGAAAAAGACCGAGGUCCAAUAAAUGGAAAUGUGGAAGAAACACUAGGUGGAUGAAUGAAUGUGUUUGAAUGCACAACAGACACUGGUGAGGAAGAAUGACCAGAAGUAACUUGAGGAUUGAAACCCAAAGCAUUAGAGUCUAUAGGAAACUUGGAUUCAUAAAAAAUAACAUGUCUAGAUACUAAUAGUUUAUGAUCUUUGAGAGAGAAGCAAAUAUACCCUUUGUAUUGUGUAGCAUACCCCAGAAAAAUACACUUAGUAGUUUUAGGUUCAAGUUUAUUGCUUCUAUAGGGUUUCAAUGAAGGAUAGCAUAAACACCCAAAAAAUCUCAAAUGAUCAAGCUUAGGUGGAGAUUUAUAUAGCAUUUCAAAAGGAGACUGCAUAUGUAGGGUAGGUGUGGGCAUUUUGUUUAUAAGAAAAGUAGCAGUGGCACAGGCAUGGAACUAGAAUUUUGAAGGUAAUGAAACUUGUUGUAAAAAGGUAAUAGUUGUUUCGACAAUAUGUUGAUUUUUUCUCUCAGCCAACCCAUUAUGUUAUGGGGUAUAAGGACAAGAUUUUUUAUGAACAAUGCCUUUGGUAAGAAGAAAUUGCUUAAACUGAGUACUAACAUAUUCCCUACCCCCAUCACUCUGCAAAAUUUUUACAUGAGCAUCAAAAUAAUUCGAGACAGAAGCAAGAAAGUUGACAAAAACAGUGAACACUGCAACUUUAUUAUUUAAUGGAAAAAUCUAGGUAUAUCUUGUACAUUCAUCAAUAAAGGAAACAUAAUACUUGUAACCUUCUAUAGACAAACUAGGUGAGGGACCCCAAACAUCUAUGUGAAUUACUUCAAAUGGAGUAAGUGACUUCGAAGCAAUUACAGGAAAAAGGAGCUUGGUAAACUUGCCUUGCAAACAAGCAUUACAAGUAUGAGAUUGAGAGUUACAAGGAAAAGAUAUACAAGACUUAUUAAGUGCUGCAGUGACAGUGGAAUGUGUAGGAUGGCCUAAUUGACAAUGCCACAAUGUAGAAGAAAUCUUUUGACCCACAAAUGCAACUGGAUUAAAAACAGGAGAAAUAGACCUCUGUGGUUUGAUUAUGGGAAGUGGAUAGACAACAUUAUUACUCAGCCCUUGGAAUAGCACUCUCCCGGUGACCUUGUCCUGUAGACAGAGAGAAACAUCAUCCAUGAUACAACGACACUGAUUAUCUUUGCACAACUGAUUCAUAGAUAAUAAGUGUUGUGACAGUUUUGGAACAUGUAACACAGAGUUUAACUUGAAAUUAUGUGACUAAGUGAGAAGAGAAGAGGAACCAAUAUGUUUGACAGCUAAACCUUCACCACUAGCACUGGUCACAAUAUCAUUUGAUGGAUAAAUUUAUUGUCAUGUGCAAGUUUGACAAAUCUGAGGUCAUAUGGUUAGUUGCUCCCAAGUCAAGAAACCAGAAAUCUUGUUGAAGAGUUGAGGAUGAUGCACCAGCUCGUGCUUGCAUAGCAAGAGGAGGAUUUUGUGAGGAUAUAGUUAAUAGAUACAUAUGUGGUAUGACAAGAUACUGAAACUGUGAGCUAUUAGACUGUGGAAUCAUGCCUUGUGAAGGACCACAUGGAUUCUAGCUAGGUGCUUCACCAUAUGACCCAGUAGGCAUUGGAGUUGGCAUAGAUGAGGAUAAACCCUAAGAGAAAUGCUCUGAUGUGCCUGUGAAAUUUUUAUUCUGAUCAAAGCAAGUAGCAGCAACAUGACAACCUCUGUGACAAAUUUGACAUCCAUGUUGAAAACAAUUCAAUGCAGAAUGACCUUUGCGAUCACAUAUUUGCAGAAUGGCCUUUGCAACCCUAGAAAGAAGGAGCGAAGAAGACCAAAUGUGUACGUUUCUCUUUGGUUUUUUUUCCCUCCUAAUCGCGCUGUUCGAAAUCACGGACCUCGGGCCUGGGCCUAGUGGGCCCAAUUAUGAGGCCCAUUAUCUCCGGUCUUCUCGUUCUACUUCUAGUUACCCAAAUUAAGAACGUACGCUUUUAGCGCGAGAGAGAAAUGGAGGCCCUGAUUGCCUCGUACGGAGACUCGUCGUCGGGCUCAGACUCCGAGUCGCCGGCUCCACCUCCACCACCACCUCCGGAGCUCAACAACCCUCAAGAACCGACCCCUGCGCUGCCUCCACCUCCUCUGUCACUUCUCGACAGCCCCAAUUCCUUCGGUAACCUCUGAUUCCCAUCAAUUUUCAUCUUUUAGCUUUCUGUUGUGAUGGCUUUUUCCGAGUUGCCCACCAAGUGUUUGAUGUUUUGCCUCCGAAGAAUUUCUGGACUUAUCGGCAAGCGCCCAGCCGAGCAGAGUUCGGAACUUUCCUCACGUCGAAGGGAACUACGCAGUACAUGUAUACAUCCCAGGUUAUCAAAAUUCUCGAAAUUUUCAGCUCCAUUAGCAAAUGCGAUCGCUUUGCACUUAGUUUUUGCUUGUUUAAUUGUGUGGUUCCAGUUUAUAUACCACCAGCACCAAGGAAAGAGAUGGCCUUGUUUUUGAACAAGCUAGCUUCUCUGCUGCCUGGUCUCCAUGCGGUUGACGUUGACUUCCCGCUUGACAUUCUGCGUAAGGACGAGCACAAGCUUGAACAAGUUGCUUUAGGCAGAGAGUUCCAUAUAAGUCUCGGAAGAACUGUUCCGAUGCGGGUGCACCAGAUUGAUUCCUUGGUGACAAUGCUGCGGCAGAAGCUUCAGAUUCAGAGGCGGUAUGGUUACAUUUACAUUCUCUUGUCUGCAUUGCGUGAAUUUAGUUCUGUUAUUUAACAUAAUUCUGUAAGCCUGUUUUCGUAUAAAUGCACGGUUGAAUCAGCUUUCAUUGUCUACAAGUCUGAAAUAUUUUAACUUCCAUUGAUUUCAGAUAACAAAGCAGAUUCAAGCUGUGAAUGAGGUGUAUAAGCUUCACAAUCUUCCUGAAUUUUACAAGGUUAGCUUUUUCGUGCUUUUCAAACUCGAAUCGGUUCCUGAAUGUAUGACAAUAUAUUGGAUCAAACGAUUUCUCAAAACACUAAUUCACUUGAUGGGGUCUUGGUGAUCACAGGAUCCACGCCCUCACAUCUCGGUAGCUUGAGCAUUGGGUGACAUCAGCAAUUCCCUGAACAAAGUGGUUGAAGAAGAAAGACGAAGAUCUACCAUCGGAGGAUCGUUACAGAAAUGUAUUUUUACCAGUAAAUUCAAUGGUAUCGAUAUCGAAUGUAGGAUUGGUAAUAAAACACACAAAAUAUGUAAAUUUUCUGAAGAAUAAUGUAGCCAUUUAACUGUAUUGUGAAAUUCCGAGAAUAUAUGGCUGAGCAUUGGAUGAGAAGACAUUUCUUCGUUGGUGUCGAACUUCUUGUCGAAGGUAUUGGCACCAGUGUAAACGUCAUCAUCCAUGUUGAUGGUAAUUACUUACCAGCUACUAAGGGUGUCGGAACAACCUUGCACGCACCCUCCUGUGCAUUACUUGGUAUUGUCUCGGAUUCUCCAAACUUGAAUGCUAAUGUAAACCCACUCUUGACCUUUCCGUCAUCUGCAAUUACCGGAAAGCCGGCUUGGAUGUUGCCGUUGACCUACCAAACUUAAAAUACCGACGAAAUGUUGGAGUACUUCAGUGUACUACUCGUUUUUGUAUGCGAGAGCUCCACCUCUAUCGUUGUAACAGCAUCUGAUGCGGACUAGUCCUUCAUUCCCGUUACUCUUUGCCAUCUCCACUUCAAACUUGGUGUGAUGGCUCCCGGCCUCCUCUCCGGUGAAAUUGAGUAACCCCGGAGCUGGCGUGCCAUCAAGAUUUCCGUUGUGUCUCUAUUUGCUGUUGUGGUUCGGUUCCACUAUAAACUUGGCAGAGUUAGCAUUUUCAUUCUGUUGUCUGUAUAUCUUGAUAUUACAAGUAUUUGUUGUGCAAAAUGCAUGCUAAGUUCAAGUUAUGUUUAUAUGUGUGUGUGUGUUGCCACUUUUCCAACGUUUUCUCCAAAAUUGUGACGAGCAACAAAGCAGUUUUGAUUCCGUGCACAACAACGAUACCUCGAAAGAAAUUGAUUCUUCCCCAGAAAGAUGUUUUAAAACAAAGUUGAACAAGGGAAGAAAACUUUUGAAUCGCAAUCAGAUGUCUGGUCAAAUUCUUUAACAGUUGAUGUAUACAGAAGUUCCUUGCUUAUGACACGACUUAUGAGAGGAUGUAUGUAUUGCAUUUGCAUCAAAAGAAAGAAAGAAGGUUGUAAGUGGUAAGGGAACGACUACCGAUGCCGCUCCACUUCUAAUCAAAGGGAUCGAUCCGAGGGUCGUGUUCACUUGCCAUCGCCAUUCCAGUGCAAAGGCAUGUCGGGCACAUUACCUGCCACAUUUACAGACGCAAUGUUAGAUAUAGCUGCCAUUUGGAAGUCAUCUCUCAAAAUUUUGCUACUAAAUUAAUCUUAAACUUCAUUUCCAGUGCAAUUUUUUUCUUCUGAAUUGUCUUUCACAUGCCCGACAAAUAGAAGUAUCACCAAACAUGUGAUAUAGAGCAUCUAAGCGGCAGGCACUAAAAGGAAUUUAGUAUGCAAUAAACAUUCAACGGACAUAAUUAUAUGUCUAACCUUUCCCGCUCCUGAGCAAUUUGAACAUCGUUCAGUUUUUGGCAGAGAUAGGGGUUGGUUUCCGCCAUCAGCUGUCGAUACUGGUUCAGUAAGAACAAGGGUUCCAGUGCUGGAGCAACGAGCACAAGCAAGAGAUCCUGCGUAAGUAUCAAAUACACAGGUAAGUUGACAUACGAAACCAAUCCGAACAUCUCCAUCGUAUAUAUUUAAAGCUACAGUACAUAAAACUAAAAGUCAGAAAUAUAGGACAUUAUCACACCAGUUCCAAGACAAUAUUUGCAUCGUUUAUGCUCCUGCUGUUUCACAUUGUUUAUUUCAACUACCAUCAAUGCUGAGAUCACUCCGACUGCUCCUCCAGAGAAUGACGCCACUAUGGGAUCAACUUGACUGCAGUUUGAAAGUAAAGGAGAUCAAUAAACGAAACUGGUAACAACAUAGUAUCAACAUUAUUUAGCUUCGUUUCAAGAAAGAUGACAUCCUAGGUUUUUCUAAUGUGUAAAAAUUGAGGAUCCUCGUAAAAUUUGACUAUAUCGGUUCCCAAAGCAUUUGAUUCCUACGUUACAGACGGAAAACAGCAACAAUCGAAUUUAAAGAUUCAUAACACGAUAGAUGGUACAAAAUUUCAAAACGAUAAUUACUAGAGAACAGGAGGGUUAAUAGCCUGAGAUAUGAGCAAUACCUCAACUGCAACGGCAGAUGCAUAUUUACUAUAAAGUCUUUAUAUGAUGUGCCUCCUAUUCCCAGCUUCAACUCCAACUGAAAGAUGUAAAGGUAAUUGUAGGCAAAGAGUUACAAACAUAACCGAAUCCAUGUUUUAUAAGCAACAACUACACUUAUUUUGAUAUGUUUCCUCAUUUUUUACUUGCAAAUUCCAAACCAUAUUGUCGGACCAGUAAAAGAAAAUAAUGUUUAUGAUAACUGUUAAAACUAAUUACAACAAGUUAAUGCAUAAAGAACUUACGGAGGGUGCUAUGAGGCCACCGAAAAGGAUAAACCCCGCAAUAAUUGAAUAACAAACAGCAUAAUACUGCUUAAGGUUGUCUGAACUCUGCAAGCAAUGAAUUCACCUUGUGAUUAAUACUUUGCACAAACACUAGUUUUCGCAAUUUUUUAUGAAUCGACAAAAGGCUACAACAAAAUAUGGCUAAAACAUGUCGGGGAUAUGAAAAUACAUGUCUUCACAGGGGCACCAGCUUACCAGGGGAGGCAAAAAUGGAAUGAACGAUGGAAAACUAGGAAGUUCGUUUUCUUGAUCUUCAUUUACCGCUCCAAGCUCUGCACGUUUAAUCCGCUGUUGUAUCCUCAGCCUGCGAACCUACGCAUAUCGAAGCUCAUUCUUAAAGAACACAUUUCUAAUGGCAAUUGGAGAGUAAUUUAAAACAUGCUACACUGAGAAAGUGGUAGCAACUAGCAAUUGCUCUCACCUCCUCCAUAUGCAAGAAAAUUUUGUUGCGACGACUCCGAAUAUUAUCUUGAAUUUCCUGCAGCUCCAUUGUGGCAAAAUCCUGCACUGUUUCAGGCCCCUCUAUGAUACAAAAUCUGCACCAUUAAGCAUGUAAAAAUUAAAAAUUACAAGCUACAAAGCAAUUUCCGUAUAGUUGUUGGGUUAAAUAACAUCAACAGCAAAUAAAUCACAUAGGUUUUUCACAUAAAGUUACAAACUUUCAAGGACUAAUAAGCUGUCUGCAAUCUCAUAAAUUUCACAGUGCAAAGUAACAAUCCAAAGCUUGGAACUUUAAAUUUCCACCUUCUGUUAAUUUUUUAGUGCACCUGGUGUCGUUAGAUUCGAGUAGUAUGUCACAUUAAAUUUUUUUUUUCUGUGCAUGCAUUUUUUUUUAAAAGAAAAUUUAUAUUGUUAAAGAGCGAGUUCGAAACUAUUACAUUAUGGAAGGACAUAGUACCGAAACUCCGACGAUCAAAAACAAAAUCAUGUACAACCACUCCAAGCAGUCAACAUGGCCAUCACAUAUUGAAUCCAAAAUGUUGACGCCCCAUUCGCUGCAUAUAAUGUACAGACGAGCGGCAGCUUCAACCAGUUCUGCCAUAUCCGGCUGGAUGAGAGCAGCUAAAGACAUGAUUGUUCCCUAAUAACAUGAAUAAAUUGAGUAAACACCAAAAGUAGCAGCAAGGGAAGGAGAUGUGAAGUAUAUGAAGAGGUGUAAGACCUGUGAAUGUCCAGCAACAAAGAUUUUGGAGCUUGUUGUCGAAUAAUGCAACGCGUCAUUUCUGGUAGAUCAAAUAGAGCCAAUUCCCGCCAACUCCAAUUCCAAAAUUUCUACAGUAAAGCAUAAAUCUUAUUCUCUCUUCUGAUAAAGAUGAGUGUCCCAGACUCCAACGUGUUCCACACACAUUCCCUACCCAUACAUCGAAACCUUCAUCUGCAAGGACGAAUCCCAGCGAUUCUUCUGGAGAAUUUAAGAAUCAUGCAUCACCUGGUUAAGAUCAAGAAAAGCCAGUAACCAAGUUCAAUUGAGUUAAAAUGUAUCCCAUGGAUGUUCAUCACUUUGCCCAAUUGUUCUUUUCAAGAAAGGAAAUUUCAACAGAACCUGAAAACUUCAGAUCAGGGGGCACCAAAUAGUGAGCUAUACAUUCAAAAUUUGAAAUAAUCAACUUAGUAGGACCAGUAUGUUGAAAAAAUAGGAAGGAGCUAUGAAAGUAAGACUUUUCACUAAUCAGGCGUCCAGAGAAUCCAUAUUUUACCCGCGUAUCAGUUACGGGGAACACUCCCCACCAGAGCAAUCUCAUUAGUCCUUCACAUCUCAACCGUACAGAAGUUGCACUAACAAACAUGACUCCUAUUAGUCCUUCACAUCUCAAAUCCAGGAAGUACCCAUCUUUCGUCUGAAUCUGGAAAAUAAGCAGCAGUCAAUUUAACAAUCUCGGUAUCUCAAAGUUACUCACUUUAAUCACAAAUUUAGCAAUUAAACAUAUAAAUGGGCAUUUUUUUAGGGAAAUAUUAGUAUAGUACUCACUGUGUGCUCGGAGCAAGAGUACCCAGAAAGCUCAAUGAGCUGCGCACAGAGGACUGCAGUGGUGAACGACAGCGACCGCACAGAGGACUGCAGUGGUGAACGACAGUGACCAAUUCUGUAAAAUUUAGUCGAGUUUUGGGAAAUUUCUGCAGCGAUUUCGGAGGUCAAGAGGCUGAUAAGGAAAGCCGCGACCAAAGGGCACUGGUCUGGAAGAAAGGCUUUGGUCGCCGCUAUCGCAAUUCACGAAGGAAGAAGUGCCCCAAAACAAUUUCGGCCCUGGACAGGUGCACUGUUUGCACUGAGCCAGGGCCGGCCCUGAAUCGCGAUAACGUCCUUCUCCAAACAGUAUAUAUACAGAUGCUAGAAAAAUCUACCGGAACUAUUCAAUUCUAGCGUCUACAGCUUUAGCAUUAGUUGGUACAAGGGGCAUUCUUCCAAAGAGGGAGAUGAAAUCGUUGAGGCACCAAAUAGUGAGCUAUACAUUCAAAAUUUGAAAUAACCUCUUGGUAGGACCAAUAUGUUGAAAAAAUUGGAAGGAGCUAUGAAAGUAUGGCUUUUCACUAAUCAGGCGUCCACAGAAUCAAUAUUUUACUCACAGAUCAUUUACGGGGAACACUCCCCACCAUAACAAUCUUUUUAGUCCUUCACAUCUCAAACCAAGUAGAAAUUGCAGUAACAAACACGACUUCUAUUAGUCCUUCACAUCUCAAACCCAGUAAGUACCCAUCUUUCGUCUGAAUCUGGAAAACAAGCAGCAGUGGAUUCAACAAUCUGGGUAUCUCAAAGUCACUCACUUUAAUCACAAAAUUAACAAUUAAACAUAUAAAUGGGCAUUUAUUUAGUGAAAUAUUAGUAUAGUACUCACUGUGUGCUCGGAGCAAGAGUACCCAGAAAGCUCAAUGAGCUGCGCACAGAGGGACUGCAGCGGUGACGACGGCAACCGAUUCUGUAAAAUUCAGUCGAGUUUUGGGCGAUUUCUGCAGCGAUUUCGGAGGUCAAGAGGCUGAUAAGGAAAGCUGGGACGGAAGGGCACUGGUCUGGAAGAAAGGCUCAGGACACCGCUGUCCCGAUUCGUGAAGGAAGAAGUGCCCCCAAAACAAUUUCGGCUCUGGACAGGUGUACUGUUUGCACUGGACCAGGGUCGGCCCUGGCGAUAACGUCCCCCAAACAGCACAUAUACAGAUGCUAGAAAUAUAUAAAUGUAACCUGAAACUACUAGAACCAUUCAAUUCUAGCGUCUACAGCUUUAGCAUUAGUUGGUACAAGGGACAUUCUUCCAAAGAGGGAGAUGAACUCAUUGAGGCUCUUAUUUAUUCCUCCUCUUGAUGUGCCCUUUUAGGCUGCUAAUUCCACACGAUCCAAUCUCAUACAUCUUCCCUGCAAAAGCAUGUGUGCCUGACUUCAAGAUCAAAUUUUUCCAACAAAAGAAACUUAAAGAUCAAACUCGCUAGAGGAAUAAGUGGUGCACAAGGGUGUUAAAAUCUUGACAUAUGUAUAUUUUUGGCAGAUUUUAUGUGAGCAUGCAACUAAAACUGGCAUCACUAUCAAUGGUGCACAAAGAUUGGUGGAAAACUUUAACAGUUUGAGUUGUAACUUCUCCAUUGUAUUUGUUAAGGCAAGACGGAUGUCAUCUAUUCAUUUUUCUGUAAAACUUAAAAGGCUGCAUAGCAGCUCUUGUUCGUUGUAUUGAAUACCGUGGUUUUACUGAUGAAUGCAGAGUUUGCUGAUGAUUCAUACGACAAGCAAUUGAAAAUCCCAUCAUUAUGCCCCCCAUAUACCAGAAGAAAAAAAAGUCAUUUACACAAAUUCAGAGCGUUCAUCCACUGUAAUUUGCAGAUAUAGAAACGUUAAGAUAAAAGGAAAUGCAAAGUACCUUUCACCAAAUUGGAGGAGCACCGGUGGCAUUAGCAAGUUAGCAACGGGAAUUGACAUACCAAUAUCUUCACAGUUUCUGCACAAGCACAAAUCAAAAGAAUCCGGAGGUGGAGUUAUGUACCUCUCCUUGGAAAAUGCCACCUCUUGGGAUUUCAAAAUAUGCGGCCGUGGCUAGCCGUCUGACCACGCCAAUUCCACCAAAGCCGCCGCAACGCGGUGUAGUGUCCGAUUGAUUGCUUCAAAUCAGAGCUUCGUAUCCAUGUGUUUAUCAGCAGAGAGUACCCAAAACCCCUGAAAAUUAUUUCUUUAUUCAGAUAAUAAAAUAUCCCAAAUUUCGAAUUUUAAUUCCGAAUCAAAAAUAGGGUUUGAAUUUUGAUUACCUAUAAAUUGGGGGGUUGCGGUGGAAAGGGAGUCAGCCAAGACGGCGAUAUGCGUCCUCGAGAGGGCUAUGAAAAUACAAAUUACAGAGCGUGUUGGGACGAUGUACAAGGCUUUUGCAGUCUCUCAAAUAUAAAUACCGAAGCUCCGUAAGGCGUUCAAUCCAGGGGGAAAGCUCUUUAAUAGAUGUUCCAUCCAGGAAAAGACUUCUUAAUCCUUCCAUAUUUUCUUCAAUGCUUGGAAACAACUCAAAUUUUGUACAACCGGAAAGAGAGAGAGAGAAAAGGGACUUGAGCUGACAAAUGCUGCUUGGAAGACUCUUAAGUUCUUUGCAAUCUUUUAGAUUCAAAUGAUUCAAUCCCGUAAGAUUAUUAAUUGACGAGGGCAGUUCUUUAAUUUUUGACCCGGAUAAAUUAAGCUCUUCUAACUCCUCCAUACCUUCUGAAAUCUUUGGAAACAUCUCAAGACUAGAGCAGCCAGAAAGAUUAAAGGUUUUGAGAGAUUUCAUACGAAUGCUGCUUGGAAGACUCUUAAGUUCCGUGCAAUUAUGUAGAUUCAAAUGACACAACCUCGUAAGAUUAUUAAUUGACGAGGACAGUUCUUUAAUUUUUGAGCAGGGUAAAUCAAGCUUUUCUAACCCCUCAAUACCUU